rnacentral:lncRNA from 1 species
GAAGACUAAGCGCUCAGCCUCGACCCGCAUAACUUCCGUUGCAGAAAUGUUGAGAUUGCCUUGUGGAACUUGCAACGUGAAAUGAUUCAAACUUUGGUUCGUUCUUAGAAACUUAGUGGUGUAGAGCUUUCGUUGCUUCAGCUAUCGAUUCUAAAAUUAAACUUAUGGUUGUCAGUUUUGCUUGGUUAGUGACCACCGAGCAUAAGAAGUGAACUCAGUGAGGCUGCUUCGUUUUUUGUGAACCAAACGUAUCUUGUUAUCGGUUUGACAGCCCUGGUUCUGAGUUAUUUUACUCUGCAUGAAGUGUUACUGUUGUCCUUGCUAUCCUUCUCUUUUGUCUGAUUGGCUAGGUUGGUGUGUCGACCGAAUGAUCAGAAUAAGUGCUAUAUAGUACUCUUUCCAAGGCUAUAAUUCCAAUUGUAGUAUUAAUAACAAUUUUGUACUGUAUUGUGGACGUUUAUUGAAACUGCUACCAAGUGUCCAUGACCAAGCCGCCUUAAAGCACAAAACUAUAUAAAAUCCAUGGAUCUCAGCCGAAAAGUUCCUAGGGUUCAUCUAGGCGUGGAGUUUCUGAAUGUCCAUGUCCGCUGCCAUCUGGGCAGCACGACAGGGAAGAGGGAGGUGACAUGCGCCAUCUCGGAAGGAUCAUUAAAGAUCCAUGUAAAUGGCGCAACCAUAAGUUUCGUUUAGCUAGCUUGAAAUGUUAGACCGAUAAAUGGGCUUCAACAGGAUUAAGCGGGCCAUGUCUUCGUCGUCACUUGAUGUAUCGUCCUGUCACUCCUCCAUAUAAAUGAUAACCGAUGUUGCAAUGAUCUGCGCAUCAGCGAUUUUUUUACCUUCCCGCGUGUGGCUUCUGUGGGCCAAAGAGCAUAUAAACCCUGGAUUACCAUCGACCUCUCUUGCCCCGUGGCUUCUGUGGGUCAUGGCAUCAUCCAUCUCGAAAGUGCACUCCGAGGGCCUGCUGAAACAGGUGGGAUCGUCCCCUGAGCUCCCAAUUCCGAGCACAAAUAUCUCCAAAAAGGUACCGAGUGAGGACAUUGCCCAAAACCUGUGAUAUAAUGUCUCUCCCUACUACUUGUAUCCCAUGGAGCAAGCCAUCCUUUGUGGUUGACGACCGUCAAAGAAGGUUCGUGUCAUCCGGUCUUCACGGGAUUCUUUGCCAUGCAUAGGUUGUCAGAAUUGCUAUUCUAUUGUACAAUUCUACGAUUUUACAAUCAAAACUAGCCCUUCCGAUUCUACGAUUUUGGUUAGUACAGUCUACGUUUUUACGAUUCUGAUAGUUAAGAUUGUAUAAUUUGUGAUUCUACCAUCAGAGCUCCCAUCCGAUUCAGAAUUACGAUUAUAACAACCUUGGCCGACUUAACUGUGCACCGUCCUAAAAAUAAUAAUUAGAAAAAAUAAUCAAGUCACCUCGCUGGAGACACUCAACCUACUGCCUUCGACAUCGACCUUGCCAACGGAGGGCAAAAAGGGCCUCCCUUUCAAUUUGGAAAUAGCACUCCAAGAAUAAUAUUGAGCCAUUCUUCAGAUUCGAAGGUGAAGGCCGAUGCAACAAUAUAAGAAUAACGAAGAACCUCAAAGCAAGCUUGCUUACACCACGAAACGUCAUAUCUGAGUGGGCCAAACAUAUAUCCACAAUUAUUUUCCCUUUCAUAUCCAUGACCCUGAAAGAGGUGAGGAACAAGGCCAGCAUGAGUUUAUGAGGGGUCCCAUCGGAUCCGCCACUUGCAAUCGUAUUUCUCUGUACAAAAUAACUGAGCUAAGGAGCGGGUGCCUAAAAAACGCUGCUAGAGAGCAACGGAGUGAAGCCCCACAACAACAUAGCGCCAAAAAUAGUGAGGCUGUCGGAGGAGAAAGGGAGGGGUGUCGGAGGAGAGAUAAAGGGAAGGGGAAUAAGCCCGCUUUCCUGUUUCCGGACCUAGCAUUGCUUAUUACUCCCUCUGUCUCAAAAUAAGUGUCUUAACUUUGUACUAAGGCUGGCCAUAGUGGAGAUGACAUAACCGGUAACAUGCACUUGGGACUAGCAAACAUGCUUAUGUGGCACACAAUUAAAGAAAAGAAAGAGGAUUAGAGUAACAUAGGUAGAUACCGUAUUAUGUUAAAUGCUAUGCUACUUUAUGUCAUGCAUGGCAAUAAAUAUGAUCACCUAUGAUACUACUUUACGAUACUAUGCAUUAUGGAGGUAAUAUCAUACACUAGUAUCAUAUGCAUAAUACUACAUAUGAUACUAGUAUAUGAUACUCCCCACUAUGACUAGCCUAAGUUUAAGACACUUAUUUUUGAGACGGAGGGAAUACUUGUCUUGUUUUCUGUGAUAAUCAUUGUUUAACUGGUUUAGCAACUCGUUAGCAUGUUAGAGGAUAGAUUAGAGCAAGGUUAAUAAUGUAGCCGGUUAAUGGCUACAAAGAGAUGCCAAGUCAUGUAAAAGUUUUUAUGAAAAAAUAAUACUCACAUAAUGGGUUCGCUCUUAGAUUGGCUCUAAGCAUUUACUAUUUGCACAAGCAAUGCAUAAGAUUGGAAGUGCAUGUAUACUACUUUUUCUAGAUCCAUGUGCCAUAGCAGUAGAAUAAGAGCCCACUCCAGACUCUCUCAUGUCUUCUCACUUCUCCAAAUAGGCCUUUAUGGCGUGAAAAGUCUUGUCGCCUACUAACUAGGUUUUAUUAGAACAUUUAACAAUCAUACAAUCAUACUAGUGACCGAUCAUGCCUUAAAUAAUCCAUUUCACAAUCAGAUACCUUAAAUCCAUACUAUUACAUGCAACAUAAAUCUAAUCUUAAGCGGAGCCCGUCCGGCUCCGCCAUGCCCAUGUCCGGGGGCGGCUGCGCUCCGCAGAGUGUUGGUCCUGGGACGAGUCGGCGACAUCCACCACGACGCGGCUGCGGCGCCCGGACUGAUGCAUAACAGGGACACCGGAGAAUGCGAUUCCGCCUUGCCAACGUCCACCACUGCGAGGGCUGCCGCUGCCUCCCGCGCCCGCUGCCUCGCACGGCGGGCACGCCGCGCCAUCUUUGCGUCAGACGUCGCCCAUGGUGCGUCCGCCACCGUGUUCGGACACCACACGAACCGCACCGCCUCCGAUGAGGCAGCGAUGCAACAACUUGCGGCGGAUCCAUCCGCCAUUUGGGCGAACGCAAUGGAUUCCCGACGGAAGGAGUCUCAGAGCUGUCGUCGGGCGGCCUCCUCAUGGGAGCGGUGGAGCACAAGGCGGGCGGUUGUCUCCUCCUCGGGGCCUCGUGGGAUGAGCUUGGAGUCGACGGAUCUGGAGGUGUUGGACUCGGAUCCGCCGCCCGGCAUGCCGAGGAAGUCUGGAGAUCGCCGAACAAGAGCUUGGGUGGCGGAGGGGAGUGAAAUGAAGUGGCUAGGAUUUGGUCCAGAAAGGGAAUGAAGAGAAAUAUAUGUGCGGUCGGGUGGGUCAGCGUAGGCCGGAUCCAACGUGACGGGCGCGCCCGGGCGCUACCAUAUCCGUCUCAUAUUUGAGCUGGAUAUGAGAGUGUUAUUACCUAUCACUGAUCGGGUCGUCUGCUCGGCCGUAUGAGGCGUGUUUGGGGCGCCCGGCUCUGAGCAGGUGAGCUAGGUAGUGCAUAUAACAAUAGGAAAUCAAGGAGUUUGGUUUAGUUAAUUAAGCUCGUGAUUUGCGUGGAUAAGGACGUGUUUCGCUUGAAUCCACUGCAGAGCCUGAACAGAUUUGCUACUCAUGGAAAUUUAACCAAAAAAGUUUCCACGAGUAUCACGCCUUUCGCUGGAAAGUGGAAGAAAUAUUGUUUGUUGCAGAAAGUGAUUUUUUUACUUUGUUAUUAUGCAGGAACAACAGUAAUAGUACCAAAGAAAAAUCUAAGAGCAGUUGGCUAACGUUUUAGAAUAUGCCUUGAAAAAGAAAGAACUAGUAAGUACAAUAUUUUCGAACACUAUACCGACGCAGACUUUACCCCUAUGCGCAUCUCUGAGAGACUGAGCUAGCAUAUCAUUUUGAGAUUGACGAAGUUAGUAAAGAUGCCUCGUACUUGACAGGAACGUCCCAUCACACUGAACGCGCAUCGCCGAAAAUACUGAAAUAAAUUCAAAAAUAAAUGCGAGCACCAGGCCAUGAACCUUGGUGGGGGGGAUACCACUGUCCACCUAAGGGCAUAUCCAACAGCAACCCGCAAAUUUCCUCCCGCAUCUGUCCACGAACAAGAGAGACCAGUCUGCGGACAUGGAUGCGAGAGGCCGCCAUCUAACCGUAGCCGCAUACAUCCGCUCUUCCUUAUUUUUUUAAGUCCGCAAGAUCAAAUAGCCGCAUACAUAGGGUCCAAACGUUCAAGUAGCCGCAUGCAACAGUAGUUCAAAUUUAAAGAAGUUCAAAUAUUACAUCCCAUCAUUGUUUUCCCCUUUAACCGUCCACUGAUUCUCAAUCGGAUCUUACUUCAGCUGCUCGUGAGUUGGUCAAUGCCGAAUUUUAAACUAUUCAAAUGUGACCGGGUUCUGGUCUGGAAGUUGGAUAGGAUCACCCUUGUUCUCAAAUUCUAGAGUUGCGGCAACAUCGUCACCCUAAUCCUCGACGAUCAUGUUGUGCAUGAUCACACAACAUGUCAUCACUUCCAACAAGGUCUCCGGAUCCCAUUGUUUAGUAGGUCCACGAACAACUACAAAACGGACCUGCAGAACUUCAAAUUCCCUCUUGACAUCGUUUCUAGCUGCUUCUUGUCUUUGGCCAAAGUGAGCCUUUUUCUGGCUAACUGGGUUAGAGAUGGUGCUAACAAAGGUAGUCCACAGAGGAUAGAUACAAUCAACUAGAUAGUAGCCCAUAUUGUACUCAUUCCAUUGACAGUAUAGUAGCAAGGAGGAGCUUUUCCUUCAGUCAGCCUCGCAAGAUCGCUGCAACACAUUGAUGUCAUUUUGAAACCUAGGCAUGCCAAAGAAAGCGUGCCAAAUCCAAAGAUCUUGUGAUGCAACUGCUUCAAGAAUUAUGGUGGGCUUCUUAACAUGGCUCUGAUAUUGACCUUGUAAAGCCUCCAGACAAUUCUUCCAUUUCCAAUGCAUGCAAUCAAAAGAUCCAAACAAACAUGUCCACCCUCUUACUUCUGAGAUUGCCAAGAAUCUCUCAGUGUUCCAAGAACCUCUCGGUGUCAUCCAGAGUUGGUUCUCUCAGGUACUGAGGUCCGAACACCUCGACCACGACAAUCGCAAACCUCACCAUGGCAUUUCCACAUGUGCUCUCAGACAGUUGUAUGUACUCGUCCCACGAAUAAGCGACCGUGCCAUAUGCAAGCAUCCGAAGUGCACCCGUGCACUUUUGGUAACCAGAGAACCCAAUCGUUCCCACGACAUCCUUCUUCAGGAUGAAGUAGUCAUCAUAGAAUCAGACGCCAUGGUACAAAUGGUCGAAAAUAGUCUUGCGCAUCCGAAAACGCCGGAGAAAAUGGUCAGGGAAGAGUGCGUCGGGGGCAAAAUAGUCGGCCAUCAGUGUUAAAUGGCCGCAUACCCUGUUGCGGUUGAUCACUCGAUGACCCUUGAUCGAGCCCUUGAAACUAAGAACAUGCUCCUCGGCGUGCUCCGCGUCUUCAUCAAGGACCGCCUGCAUCAUCGUCGUCUCAUCCGAGUACUCCUCCUCGUCUGACGAACCGUCAGACGACUCAACAUACUGCUUGUAUAUGUAUUCCAAAUCGGAAUCCAUUGCUAGAAAGAAGAAGGGAAACUGUUUUUAGCUCUAGCGAUUCAUCCAACAGUUGCCGGGCAUGGUGAGUAUAGCAAUAGAGGAUGAUACUUGACGGGGCGGUCAGAGAACAGGGGUUGAACGGCGACGGAGGAGAAGUGGGGUGGAACCCUGCUGAAAUGCUGGAGGUGACAAAGAUUUAGAGUUUCUGCAGAGGUGUGUCGUGGUGGCCGGGGUGGUGGAGCGGUGGCGAAGGCAAGAGUGAAAGAAGAAAGAAGAGAAAACGAGGAGGAUGAAGGCGCGGGGGUCCGGGAAGGGUUUUGUGUGGGUAAGGGGUGUCAGAGUCCUACAUAUCUGGUGUCCGGACUCCCGCAAAGGUUCCCAUGUUUGUCUUCGAUUUGCGGGAGAAAACACGUCCGGACCACGCCGCGGACCGCUACAAAACCAUGUUGGAGGGCUUCAAUGGUCCGGACGGAUGCGGGCGGUUUACGGAUGGCCUAACCAUCCAACCACAUGUUGGUUCGGAGUACAAAAUUUAGGAAGGGUUCUUGGUACCAUUUUAACCGUUGAUAAAUAGAGCGGAAUUUUCUUGAAAAGAAUAACAUUUAAAGAAAAAGAUGACGAUCAGCAUCAGACUCACGAGUCACGAACGCGAGCUCUUCUACUAUUUAGCAUGCAGAUCUCUUCUUCUGUGCUUUGCUCUGAGUUCUCGCACCUGCCCGUCGCCAUGCCGUCGUCCAUGUACGCCGCACCGCAGGCAAGCGCAAGCAACGGCGUUGGCAAUGGCGACGGCAUGCCACACGUGCUUGUUGUCCCUUACCCGGCGCAGGGCCACAUGCUGCCUCUCCUCGACCUCGCGGCGCUGCUCUCCGCACGGGGCCUCGCGCUCACCGUGGCCGUCACGGCAGGCAACGUCCGACUCCUCGCGCCGUUCCUCGCAGCGUGCCCGUCAGUCGCCACCGUCGUUCUGCCGUUCCCUUCCUCGCCGUUCCUCCCGGCCGGGUGCGGCGAGAACACCAAGGACCUCCCGGCCGAUCUCUUCCGCCCGUUCAUGGCCUCCCUCGCGGCCCUCUCCGCGCCGCUCCUCUCCUGGUGCAAGUCUCAGUCCCGCGGCGUGACGGCCAUCGUCUCCGACCUGUUCACGGGGUGGACGCUCCCGCUCGCCGAGGAGCUCGGCGUGCCGCACGUGGCCUUCUCGUGUGCCAACGUUCACUACCUCGCCACGACGCACUCCCUUUGGCGACGCAUGCCAACGAGGCGCCGCCUCGACGACGCCGACGGGACUGUCACCUUCUCGGAGGUGCCCGGCUCGCCUAGCUUCCCUUGGCGCAGCCUGCCGUGGAUGUUCAGGGUGCAUGUGCCCGGCGACGAGGUGUCGGAGACGAUCCGGCGGAUCUUCCUGUGGAAUAUAGAGAGCUCCUGCUUCGUGGCAAACUCGUUCGCGGCGCUCGAGGCCGCCUACGUGGAGCGCCCGCUCCCCGACCUGAUGGCGAAACGGGUGUUCGCGGUGGGCGCGCUGUCGGACGCCGUGCGCAACUGCGACGAACGUGGCGGGAAGCCGGCGGUGGCCCCGGCGAAGGUGGCCGCGUGGCUGGACGGGUUCGACGACGGCGCCGUCGUGUACGUCUGCUUCGGGUCGCAGCAGGCGCUGUCGCCGUCGCAGGCGGCGUGCGUGGCAGGCGCUCUGGCGCUGAGCUCGGUGGCUUUCGUCUGGGCGGUGAGGAGCGGCACCGUCGUGCCGGAGGGGUUCGAGGCCGCAGCCACGGCGGCGUCACGGGGCAUGGUGAUCCGCGGGUGGGCGCCGCAGGUGGAGAUCCUGCGCCACCGCGCCGUGGGGUGGUUCCUCACGCACUGCGGGUGGAACUCGGUGCUCGAGGCGACCGCGGCGGGCGUGGCGAUGCUCACGUGGCCGAUGGGCGCCGACCAGUUCAUCAACGCGUCGGUGCUUGCGGAGGCCGGCGUGGCGGUGCCUGUGGCGGAGGGCGCCGACACCGCGCCCGACGCUGGAAAGAUGGCAAGCGUCAUGGCUGCAGCUGUCGCGAAGGAGGGGGAGUCCGUGAGAAAGCGUGCGGUGGAGCUCGGCCGGAAUGCGGCCGCCGCGGUGGCGGAGGGCGGAACCUCGCACAAUGAUUUGGAAGGGUUGGUGCGUGUACUCAGUGACGUCGACUAGUAUUACUGUACACUCUUGCUAAGUCUAUGCUAUAUCCGUGAGACGUUACAUUGAGAUUCAUGAUUUUUUUUCUUUUUCUCUUUUAUAUGUUAUGUCACUUGACUGAGACUUAGUUAAAUCUCGAUCGUCCAUAUUCUUUUCUUGUAUUUUCAUUUCAUUACAGAUGAUGAUUUUUUUAUGGGAUGAAUGUGGAAGACUUGAUGUGGAUGAACCAUGGACGAUGGAGCACUGAAUGGUGAUACUACCCAGUUUUGGCCUUCGCAUGAACGACUUGAUGUGUUGUAUCGCACAAAAUCGUCCAGAUUUUAUCAUGUGUGUAGCAGCGUCUUAUUAUCAUUGGGUUUUCACACUUACCGCUCUGAAUUUGGUUUAGGCCUCGAUUGGUUCGGCGUUUUCCAGCCUAAAACACGCUUAUUAGUUGGAAACGUAAAAAUAAUCAUCUGAGUCCCGAAAUCGCGCUUGUUUCUCACGGGUGUUUACUUUUUGGUUGUUUUGGUGACGUUCCGGCUGAAAACUUUCACAGACCAAGUGAGAGAUGUAUUUUCAUUCUUCAUUUUUUUAACAUAGUACAUACCUCAUAGGAAAAACGGAACGUAUUUCCAAGCAAGGCCUUCGCUCAAAUUUUGGGCUCUGUUGAUGAAAUAGUGCCAUCUCUACUGUAUUUUCUCUUCUGCGAGCGGUUUAUUUAUUAGUCUGGUGUUGUAUUUAUUUUAGUCAAUACAAUAGGUCUUCAUCCUGUAGAAAACUCUACUAGCUAAGCCUAUGAGAGAAGCUAACAGAAGGCUUGAAGCCUCCUAAGGGCUUGUUUGGUUAAUCUCUUCUCCAAGGGGAUUGGCGAGGAUUUUGACUUGCAUGGAAUUUAAUCCCUCAUAAUCUUUUUUAAUCCUCUUCAAAUCCUGUGCAACCCAACAAGGCCUAAGAACACCCAUAAUGUACGUUUUUGCCGCCUCCAAACUCUCUCUCUCUCUCUCUCUCACUAGAUGUGGCCUCCAUACAUUGCAGCUUGUCGCCUCUAAAGAAAUUUUGCUAGCGUUGCCUCUUAGCUAAGAGGCCGCCUCUUCGAAUAGAAUAAUUGGGCAGCCCCACUUGUUAGACUGCUUUUUGCCACAGGCCCAGUAUCACUUGGUAAAAGAGAAGGAAGCAUCCACGGCUGCCUCUUCUGAAUGAAUGACUUAAGUUCUGUUUUACAAACUUUAGGAUUCUGCAAAACAUCUGUUUCGGAGUGAAAAGUUUUGCUUCUCAUUUACAUUGUUGAGAACAACGAUACAUUGUCCCGAUUAGCGGUGGACAAUAGGUUGGAACGGUGAUCUCAAACGAAAGCUACAGUUUUGCACAUGCGAGGUCGAAGCACCGCGACUCCAUAGGUGUUGCACGCCUUCUGUUCCUCGAAGAAAAUAAAAGGUACGAGGUCCAAUUGCUAAAUUAAGCUAUUCGUACUAUUUUGCUCAUGUUGACUCUACUAUUUCAUCAGCAUGAUGUUGGUGAUAUUAUUCCCUAGAGAUCGUUAAGAUGGCCAAGCACAGUAGCCUCCAGUGGCUAGCCAUGGACGCUUCCUUCUCUUUUAACAAGUGAUAUAAGCUCUAUCUUUCAUAUAAUUGAUUGGCAAAUAAGAAAACAUAUACACAACACUCAUAUACACAACCCCGAGGCUGCGUAUCAAAUGAACAAACGCCAUUGUAACCCAAGUACGUAGUCAUAGGUACCGAUGCCGCGAACCAUAUGAGUCAAUGACCCAAGCAACCAGAGUAAACCUGCUACAACCCAAAGACGUUGGCAUCGCCGCUCCGACUUGCACACUAGCCACAAGGCAGUGGACAUACAUGACAACACAAAUUACUAACGUAUGGCAGAGGAAGGAAGCGAGGAAUACAAUGUUGACGCUCACUCCGUCCAAGACCAAAACUUGGGUUUCAUCUAGAGAGCUCGAGAUCCAAAUGUAAUGGGAGGUGAAAGGGCUCCACGACAACGCCCCAAGAAGGGUAAGGAUGUUCGAGGAUGCUGAAGUUGUUGGCAUCCACCGAGGUUGGUGCUAGGUUUUACGUAGAUCUCACAAAACCCAACAUCUUUGCAUCAUGCCCCGCCAUCCGUCCCGAGGUAGUCGGCACAUGGACACCAACAACCGGAGCCACCACAACCCAACCUGGUAAAAGUAAAUGGUGUCGAUACCUACCGCUCAAGUAUCCAUCACAUGUUGCUUGGUUGAGAUAGGUGUGAACUAUCCACAUGUAAUUCAAUAACUAAUUUAAUAGUGCAUGUUGGUUGCUCUACAUGAGAAUACAUGGCAAACUUUUCCUUAAGGCUACCUGUAGUGGUAGUAUCAUAGCUAGUAUCAUGUAUGUAACUAGGCAAAUUUGAUAAGGUGAUAUAUAAUUAAAUGAAGAGAAAGAGAGUUGAGUAUCAUAUUAUGAUACCUUAUCGUAAUAAACGACAUACUACGCGUCGUGUGUAUGUACUAUGGAGGGAGUAUCAUACACAUGAUACUAAUUUAUGAUACCCACUACUACGAGUAGCCUUAUGUUAAAGUUGACAUAAGUGAAGGAAAUAUACCUAGAGGCAAUAGUAAAUUUGUUAUUUAUAUUUCCUUAUAUCAUGAUAAAUGUUUAUUAUUCAUGCUAGAAUUGUAUUAACCGAAAACUUAGUACAUGUGUGAAUACAUAGACAAAACAUAGUGUCCCUAGUAUGCCUCUACUUGACUAGCUCGUUAAUCAAAGAUGGUUAAGUUUCCUGACCAUAGACAUGUGUUGUCAUUUGAUGAACGGGAUCACAUCAUUAGAGAAUGAUGUGAUGGACAAGACCCAUCCGUUAGCUUAGCAUAAUGAUCGUUAAGUUUUAUUGCUGUUGCUUUCUUCAUGACUUAUACAUAUUCCUCUGACUAUGAGAUUAUGCAACUCUCGAAUACUGGAGGAACACCUUGUAUGCUAUCAAACGCCACAACAUAACUGGGUGAUUAUAAAGAUGCUCUACAGGUGUCUCCGAAGGUGUUUGUUGGGUUGGCAUAGAUCGAGAUUAGGAUUUUUCACUCCGUGUAUCGGAGAGGUAUCUCUGGGCCCUCUCGGUAAUGCACAUCACUAUAAGCCCUGCAAGCAAUAUGACUAAUGAGUUAGUUACGGUAUGAUGCAUUACCGAAGGAGUAAAGAGACUUGCCGGUAAGGAGAUUGAACUAGGUAUGACGAUACCGAUGAUCGAAUCUCGGGCAAGUAACAUACCAAUGACAAAGGGAAUAACAUAUGUUGUUAUUGCGGUUUGACCGAUAAAGAUUUUCGUAGAAUAUGUAGGAACCAAUAUGAGCAUCCAUGUUCCGCUAUUGGUUAUUGACCGGAGAUGUGUCUCAGUCAUGUCUACAUAGUUCUCGAACCGGUAGGGUCUGCACGCUUAAACGUUCGUUGAUGAUAUAGUAUUAUAUGAGUUAUGUAUAUUGGUAACCGAAUGUUGUUCGGAAUCCCGGAUGUGAUCACGGACCUGACGAGGAGCUCCGGAAUGGUCCGGAGGUAAAGAUUGAUAUAUGGAUAAUAGUGUUUGGUCUCCGGAAAGGUUCCGGAGUUCACCGGAAGGGGUUCCGGAUGUUUCCCGAAAUGUUUGGGUACGAGAACACUUUAUUUGGGCCAAAGGGGAAAGCCCACAAGGUUUUUGGAAAGCGUAAAAGGAAGUUUUGCAGAGUCCAGGGGCCAGACGCCAAGGUCCCUGGCGUCUGGGUCCAGACGCCGAGGUCCCUGGCAUCUGGGUCCAGACGCCGGGAACCCUGGCGUCUGACCCUGGAGUCCGAGAAGGACUCUUGCCUUUCGGGUGAAACCGACUUUUUGGAGGCUUUUACUCCAAGUUUCGACCCCAAGGCUCAACAUAUAAAUAGAGGGGCAGGGCUAGCACCAAAGGGACAUCAAGAAUCACCAAGAUGUGUGCUGGCAACCCCAUCCCCUCUAGUUUAUCCUCCGUCAUAGUUUCCGUAGUGCUUGGCGAAGCCCUGCGGAGAUUGUUCUUCACCAACACCGUCACCACGCCAUCGUGCUGCCGGAACUCAUCUACUAAUUCGCUCGUCUUGCUGGAUCAAGAAGGCGAGGACGUCAUCGAGCUGAACGUGUGCUGAACACGGAGGUGCCGUACGUUCGGUACUUGAUCGGGACGGAUCGUGAAGGUGUACGACUACAUCAACCGCGUUGAUAAACGCUUCCGCUUUGCGAUCUUCAAGGGUAUGAAGAUGCUCUCCCCCUCUCGUUGUUAUGCAUCUCCUAGAUAGAUCUUGCGUGAGCGUAGGAAUGUUUCUGAAAUUGCAUGCUACGUUCCCCUACAGUGGCAUCUGAGCCAGGUCUAUGCGUAGAUGAUAUGCAUGAGUAGAACACAAAGAGUUGUGGGUGAUAAUAGUCAUACUGCUUACUACCAACGUCUUAUUUUGAUUCGGCAGUAUUGUUGGAUGAAGCGGCCCGGACCAACAUUACAUGACCACGUUCAUGAGACUGGUUCUACCGACGUGCUUUGCACACAUGUGGCUGGCGGGUGUCUGUUUCUCCAACUUUAGUUGAAUCGAAUUUGACUACGGCCGGUCCUUGUUCAAGGUUAAAACAGCACACUUGACAAAAAAUCAUUGUGGUUUUGAUGCGUAGGUAAGAACGGUUCUUGCUAGAAGCCCGUAGCAGCCACGUAAAACUUGCAAAAACAAAGUAGAGGACGUCUAACUUGUUUUUGCAGGGCAUGUUGUGAUGUGAUAUGGUCAAGACGUGAUGAGAUAUAAAUUGUUAUAUGAGAUGAUCAUGUUUUGUAAAAGUUAUCGGCAACUGGCAGGAGCCUUAUGGUUGUCGCUUUAUUGUAUGAAAUGCAAUCACCAUGUAAUUGCUUUAAUUUAUCACUAAGCGUUAGCGAUAGUCAUAGAAGCAAUAGUUGGCGAGACGACAACGACGCUACGAUGUUGAUCAAGGUGUCAAGCCGGUGACGAUGGAGAUCAUGACGGUGCUUUGGAGAUGGAGAUCAAAGGCACAAGAUAAUGAUGGCCAUAUCAUGUCACAUAUUUUGAUUGAAUGUGAUGUUUAUCUUUUAUGCAUCUUAUUUUGCUUAGUACGGCGGUAGCAUUAUAAGAUGAUCCCUCACUAAAUUUCAAGGUAUAAGUGUUCUCCCUGAGUAUGCACCGUUGCUAUAGUUCGUCGUGCCGAGACACCACGUGAUGAUCGGGUAUGAUAAGCUCUACGUUCACAUACAACGGGUGUAAGACAGUUUUGCACAUGCAGAAUACUCGGGGUUAAACUUGACGAGCCUAGCAUAUGCAGAUAUGGCCUCGAAACACUGAGACCGAAAGGUCAAACGUGAAUCAUAUAGUAGAUAUGAUCAACAUAGAGAUGUUCAUCGGACUUGAUUUAGUUGAUAUGGAUUAAGUGAUCAUUUAGAUGACUAGAGGGAUGUCUAUCUAAGUGGGAGUUCUUAAGUAAUAUGAUUAAUUGAACUUAAAUUUAUCAUGAACUUAGUCAUGAUAGUUUCUGCAUAUCUAUGUUGUUGUAGAUCAAUGGCCCGUGCUACCGUUCCCUUGAAUUUUAAUGCGUUCCUAGAGAAAGCUAAGUUGAAAGAUGAUGGUAGCAACUACACGAACUGGGUCCGUAACUUGAGGAUUAUCCUCAUUGCUGCACAGAAGAAUUACGUCCUGGAAGCACCGCUAGGUGCAAGACCCGCUGCAGGAGCAACUCCAGACGUUAUGAACGUCUAGCAGACUAAAGCUGAUGACUACUCGAUAGUUCAGUGUGCCAUGCUUUAUGGCUUAGAAUCGGGACUUCAAAGACGUUUUGAAUGUCAUGGAGCAUAUGAGAUGUUCCAGGAGUUGAAGUCAAUAUUUCAAGCAAAUGCCCGAGUUGAGAGAUAUGAAAUCUCCAACCAGUUCUAUAGCUGUAAGAUGGAGGAGAAUAGUUCUAUCAGUGAACACAUACUCAGAAUGUCUGGGUACCAUAACCACUUGACUCAGUUGGGAGUUAAUCUUCCUGAUGAUAGUGUCAUUGAUAGAGUUCUUCAAUCACUGCCACCAAGCUAUAAAGGCUUCGUGAUGAACUAUAAUAUGCAAGGGAUGGAAAACACAAUUCCCGAGCUCUUCGCGAUGCUAAAGGCUGCAGAGGUAGAAAUCAAGAAAGAGCAUCAAGUGUUGAUGGUUAACAAGACCACUAGUUUCAAGAAAAAGGGUAAAGGGAAGAAGUGGAACUUCAAGAAGAAUAGCAAGCAAGUUGCUGCUCCCGGGAAGAAGCCCAAGUCUGGACCUAAGCCUGAAACUGAGUGCUUCUACUGCAAAGGGACUGGUCACUGAAAGCGGAACUGCCCCAAGUAUUUGGCAGAUAAGAAGGAUUGCAAAGUGAAAGGUAUAUUUGAUAUACAUGCUAUUGAUGUGUACCUUACUAAUGCUCGUAGUAGUGCCUGGGUAUUUGAUACUGGUUCUGUUGCUCAUAUUUGCAACUCAAAACAGGGGCUACAGAUUAAACAAAGAUUGGCUAAGGACGAGGUGACGAUGCGCGUCGGAAAUGGUUCCAAGGUCGAUGUGAUCGCCGUCGGCACGCUGCCUCUUCAUCUACCUUCGGGAUUAGUUUUAGACCUGAAUAAUUGUUAUUUGGUGCCAACGUUGAGCAUGAACAUUAUAUCUCGAUCUUGUUUGAUGCGAGACGGUUAUUCAUUUAAAUCAGAGAAUAAUGGUUGUUCUAUUUUUAUGAGUAAUACCUUUUAUGGUCAUGCACCCUUGUUGAGUGGCCUAUUUUUGUUGAAUCUCGAUCGUAGUGAUACACAUAUUCAUAAUAUUGAAGCCAAAAGAUGCAAAGUUAAUAAUGAUAGUGCAACUUAUUUGUGGCACUGCCGUUUAGGUCAUAUUGGUGUAAAGCGCAUGAAGAAACUCCAUGCUGAUGGGCUUUUGGAAUCACUUGAUGCUUGCGAACCAUGCCUCAUGGGCAAGAUGACUAAGACUCGUGUCGGUGUCAAAACCGGCGAAUCUCGGGUAGGGGGUCCAAACUGUGUGUCUAAGGUCGAUGGUAACAGGAGACGGGGGACAUGAUAUUUACCAAGGUUCGGACCCUCUCGAUGGAGGUAAUACCCUACUUCCUGCUUGAUUGAUCUUGAUGAAUAUGAGGAUUACAAGAGUUGAUCUACCACGAGAUCGUAAUGGCCAAACCCUAGAUGUCUAGCCUGUAUGAUUAUGCUUGCCUCUAUGGACUAAACCGGAGGGGCCUAGGGUUGUACAUAGUCGGUUUACAGAGGAAUGAAUCUUCAUAUCUGAACGCCAAGCUUGCCAUCCACGCAAAGGAGAGUCCCAUCUGGACACGGGAGCGUCGUCUUCUGUCUUGUAUCUUCACGGCCCAUCAGUUCGGCCCACGUCACAUAGGCCGGACGCCCGAGGACCCCUUAAUCCAGGACUCCCUUAGUAGCCCCCGAACCAGACUUCAAUGACGAUGUGUCCGGCGCGCUGGUAGUCUUCGGCAUUGCAAGGCGGGUUCUUCCUCCGAAUACUUCAAAGCGUCUGAUCCGAAGAGUUAUACUCGGCUUUCCAUUUAAUGUCGUACCUAUUGGCUUCUGCACCUCCAUUGCUUCGGCUUCCACGUGUCGAGCGAACACGAAAGGUCAGAGUAUUUUUGCACAUAACACCCUAGCUGUGUAAGAAAGGCGUCUAUUUAAAGGGAUUGGAUCUCGGAUCCCAUCCCACACCAAGCGGAAAAUCCUUAGAGCUUGCCAGGGGAAAUCAUCCAACACAUGGCUAGCGCCCCCAGUUCUUCCUCGCGUCCUCAUGGCUCCGAAAAAGGCGAUUGGGAGAAAUGUUCAGUAUCCCAUGACCAGCUGAGUAAGCUUCAAACACAGGGAUUCCUUCNNNNNNNNNNNNNNNNNNNNNNNNNNNNNNNNNNNNNNNNNNNNNNNNNNNNNNNNNNNNNNNNNNNNNNNNNNNNNNNNNNNNNNNNNNNNNNNNNNNNNNNNNNNNNNNNNNNNNNNNNNNNNNNNNNNNNNNNNNNNNNNNNNNNNNNNNNNNNNNNNNNNNNNNNNNNNNNNNNNNNNNNNNNNNNNNNNNNNNNNNNNNNNNNNNNNNNNNNNNNNNNNNNNNNNNNNNNNNNNNNNNNNNNNNNNNNNNNNNNNNNNNNNNNNNNNNNNNNNNNNNNNNNNNNNNNNNNNNNNNNNNNNNNNNNNNNNNNNNCCGGGCAGGAUUAACCUCCUUUACAGGCGAAGCCCUGGCGGAAAAUUUUCCUAAUCCAACCAGGGGAGCGAGUGUGCUUUGUAUCCUUCUUAAUAAGAGGCGUCGGGUUUCCAAUCCACCCUUUCCUCCGAGGUCUACUGGAGUACUACGGCCUCCAGCUACACAACUUCACUCCUGCCUCCAGCUGCACAACUUCACUCCUGCCUCCAUCCUGCAUAUCGCGGGUUUUGUCGCUCUUUGCGAGCUAUUCCUAGGCUAUGAGGCCCACUUUGAGUUAUGGAGGAAGCUAUUCCGCCUCGUCCCUCAUACCCAAAAGGGAUCAGUAUUUGAGGUGGGCGGUGCUAAGGUAUGGCGCAUAGCCGGGACUGGAUACCUGUCCGGAACGACGAAGAAGGCAUCCGAGGAAUGGCCCUCGGAGUGGUUAUAUAUUGAGGAUGUCGCUCUCCCUGACCCAGUCCGAAUGGGUCUUCCCGAAUUUACCAGUGCUCCAUUGAAGAAACGCCACAGCUGGCACCCUCGGAGCCUCGAGGAGGAGGAUAGUGCGGAAGUCCAACAAUUAAUGAGCAAGAUAAGGACACCCGCCCAGUCCAGGUUAUCAAUAAUCGAGGUAAUGGCCACUUCCAUAGCGCGAGGUGUUCAGCCGCUCCAGUUCAGGGGGCUCCCUAUGAGGCACUAUAAUGGGGAAGAUGACGCCUCAUGCUACGGACGAAAGGGUCCGGAUUCCCUCACUGCCCUGGCCGCAAUAUUGGCCGAUCUGUAUAAAGGGGAGAAAGAGGAGUUCACUCGUCUUACACGCCGAGAGGGAUUUUCCAUGUACAACCCUCCUAGCUGGGUGAGUCUUAACCCCACCACUUUAUUCAAUCCUUUCCCUGAGUCAUGUUGAAUUGACAUUAACCCAUCCAUUUGUAACAGGAAUGGCGAAAGGUUACCGCAAGGAUCUACAGCCCUGCUCCACAGCGGGAGGAGCAUAAUCGGGACCUUGACCCCGGAUUCGAAGAGGAUCCGGACAUAUUCGUAGAGCUUGAAGAGGGAGUAUUCUACCAGGCGAGCUAUGAUGGCACAGAAGUGCCCAUCAUGGCCGACUGUGACAGCCUGGUUUUUGCCCUUUCUUAUUUGCUUGAAAUUUCAUUUGAAAGUUUUUGAAACUUGGAGUUUCUGAAUCUUUUCAUUUGGACUUAAACACUUGGGCAUCCUUGGCUUUCACCCAAGUGUUCACUUCUCUCCCAAACCAUCACUUCACUUCUGAUCCACCACAAAAUAACCUUUGGAAUAUUUUUCUUAAAUGAAAAAUAUUCAUUUUCUCUCAAAAACCCUAAGCCAGAUCUGUUUGCUUCAAGGCAACCCUAAUUUUUAUGACUCAGAAAAUUCUAAGAUAAUUCACAAAUAUUCUAGUGACCCUAGGGCACCUCCCUGAGAAAAAAUAUUUCAUCACUUUUUGGAAUAUUUUUGCUACAGAAAAUCUUUUCUGUUCUGGACAGAAAUGGUGGUUUCUACAGCAACUACCAUUUUACUUGCUCCAUUUGACCUGAACUUUCUUGUGCAUCUUUACCUUAGUAACUUAUAACUAGCCUCCAAAGCACAACCCCAAACUCCCAGCCAUUUGACCAUAGUAACAUCACAAAGUUACUGACCAGAAACUUACCUGGCUUGUAAAAUCUUCUCUACUGCACCUGGAUCCAAACCAAACCGUGGUAAACUUCAAAACUACCACGAACAACAUGCCAGACAUGAUUUUUGGAUGAAGGCUGGCCUGAGGAGAGAGUUCGCGCGGUGACCACGCGUGUCCACGAUGCCAGGCAUGCGUGUCGACGCGCUCUGGGUGACGCCGAGCACUCUGUUCGAGCGUGCUCGCUUCCCCCGCCUGCCCAACCAUGCCAAACCCCGCCACCAUCAUCGUCUCGACGUCCUUAACUCCUCCCUGGCACUCGCCGACGCCGGAGCUCGCCGCAGCGAGCACGGGCAAGGUCCGGCCAGCCCAACAGUGCGGAGCGCACUGUGCUCAUCGCCAUCCCCUUGAUCCUGUGCUCGUCUCCGCUUGCCCACAGUGGCCGCGUGACCUCCGUCGCCUUCUCCCCCUCUCACUGACGCCGCUCGUCGCCGGGCGCGGUGGACAGGUGUCCACCGGCGGAGCCCGAAGCACCCUCGCCGCUCGCCUAUAAAUAGAGCCACCCCCAGCCUCCUCGAGCACCAUCCAGCACUCACACACACCCCACGAUCGAGUAGGAAGCCGUAGCCCGGCCGGGCAGGCCUCGGGCUGCCGUCCCCGAGCUCGAGCUCGCCGGCGAUCCCCUGUGGUCGCCGCGGUAGCUCCAGCCCCUCCCAGGCCUGGGCGACCCCUCCAAGGCCUCCGCCUCUCUCCGGUGAGGCCAUCUCGCCCGCUUGGAGCCUCUGGAGUGACCUCUGCUCGCCGUCUUCCUCAACUCCGGCGACCUCCACGUUCUGCCUCCACUUGCGAGCUAGUUUCCGACGCUGUCCGACCACCCCUAGCCACGCUAUGGGUAUGGGCAGGUGCGCCAUCGUCCCCUCUCUCAAUCCCUCCCUCUCGUUUGGGCCAAGGAGCCCUCAUCGCCGGCGAGAGCUCCGGCGAAGCCGCGGCCCUCUCUGUUUCUCUCUCCCUCUUCCCCCACCUGACUAGCGGGGCCCGCUAGUCAGCCACUCAGUACACGCGCGAAGCGGUACGAGUGGUGGCGCCCCUGGGCUUUACGCCUUCGACGUCACCCCCAGCUGUUUCUUUUUAUUCAAAUUCAUUUAUAUUCCAGAGAGCUUCAAACAAUUUUAACUUUUUAACCAUAAGUCCAAAUGAGAUGAUUCUUUUUGCAUUGUGUUCUUUGAAAGGAAAUCUAACAGCUCACCAAAGAUGAGAUUUUUCUGAGCUGUUUAGAAUUUCUGGUGAAUUUCAGAAGUGUUCUUGAUAUUUUCUUUUUGUGUUUAAAAUUAUUUUCAGAAGGUGAGGCUUGUGUUGAGGAUCACCAGGAGGCUUGUGAACCUCAUCUGCACUAAGGCAAGCCACAUCAACAUUUUUAUGAUGCCAUUUCAAUAUUUGUGAUUUUCUCACUUAAAUGAAAUGAUUAACCCAUGCAUUUAAAUAAUUAUUGAAUUAUUUGUAUUCUGUUAAGUAUUGGUUAGUUGUUAUGCUUGAUUUACAGAAUAGUUGAAACUAGUUUAAGUGGGUAAAGAAAGUUAAAAUUUAUUUGAGGUGAUGUUAGAAAUAAUUUUGUUAUGCAUGUUAGUAAUUAUUUAAAGCUUUGUGUUUGCAUUCUUAAAUUGAUAAAAAUUUGUUAGAAAAUAUUCUGUUAAAUACUUGUUUAAUCAUAUUACUUGUCUUACAGAAUGUUUGAACCCAACUUAGUGAUAAAGAAAUUAAGAGUUGUUGAUAAUGAUAUCUUUUGGUCAAGCAUAUGAAAAAUUUAUCGGAGUUACUUUCUUGCGUAGGAAAUUAAUAAAACUUGUUGCAAAAUAUUUUGGUUAAGUUGUGAGUCAUUUUGAGCAAGUAGAGUAAUAUGAGUUGUUGACGUUUAUGCUUGGUGUGCAUAUGGAUGAUGUCGGUCAUUUUUAUCAAUAUGUGAUGCAUGUGUUGUUUUGCAUUUCAUGGCAUGCUAUGACACCGGUCAUUUUUAGUUUAAAGUUAAUCCUGAAUAUAACUCAACUUGAAUAUACCGUUGAUUGGGUCAUGGUGCCGCUGAAUCGAGUUUCUUUCCAGUGCAACCACAUUUGCCUUGUGGGAAGGCCUUGAUUCGGUCCAUUGACACGGCCUCUGGUCGGUGCCUCCAUCUAGGGAAGAUUAUGUUGUGUUUGCCCUGGCCCGGUAAGCACACAUAAUCUUGUGUGCUCGUUAAUGAGAUUAUGGUACCGAGUCCCCGAGUGGGAGUGUUUUGACCACGACGGUGGUCGGGGUGUCUUUGGUAGACACGGGGCCACCCAGGACCAGCCCGUUGGGGAUUUGGGUCGGAGUGGCCGGGAGAGUGCUGUGGCAAUGGAGGGGUUUUGUCGGAAUGCCGUUGGUCCACCCGAAUGGGAAUGCGAGGCCAUGGGUUCCGUGGUGUGGGUACAAUGUGCUACCUCUGCAGAGUGUAUAAUCUAUCGAUAGCCGAGUCCACGGUCACGGACACCUCGUACUAGGUCCCACCAUGAGUCAACGUUUAAUAAAAAUUGCACACUAAGCUAUGAACUUUGCAUUGUCAAUGGAUGGCAGAAAGGCCAUUGAGGUAUUUGGGACCAAAUGAUGGUCGUGGUUGUGAUCGCCGUAAGGAUCACGAGUUGUUCUUGAGAAAGACCACUAUGGUGGUGUGUUUGUGGUCCAGAGAUGAUCACCGUUGGUAAUCUGUCUAGAGGGACGUUCGGGCUUGAUCACAACAUGUUGACAUAUAUUGUUGCAUUAUUAAUAAUUGGUUCAAUAUCAUGAUAUUGUUUGUCAUUAUGAUUAUGCUUGUUGUGAGCUUGCAAGUACAUUCAAUGUACUGACCUGGCGUGUCAUGCCAGAUUUCAGGAAAGUCUCGUUGGAAAGGAGCGCUGUUCGAGUCUAGAUCGUGUCCACAUCAGUGUCCCUGUGAUAUGGAGCUUCCGCUACGACGUUAUUCCGCUGCCACGUAGUUGUUCGAGUAGAGGCCCCUUUAUGUUCACUAAAUAAUGUACAUAUUGUUCCGCCGCACCGAGUGUGCCGCUUGGCCUCGACCACUGUUGUAAUAUGAACUCUGUUCCACUAGCAUCAAUAAAGCGGUUGUUUUCUGUACCAAUAUGUUGUGUGUUGCCAGAAGACAUGAUCUCUGGGCUGGCAAUGCAGGGUUAACCGGUCGCUCUGAGCCGGGGUGCCACACCGACUAUCCCGGCCUCCUUCCUGCCUCGCAUGUAAGUAAUCAGGAGACAUCUCCUCCCAAAGAACUUCCUCAUUAUGCCUCACCCACCACACUGUCUUGUGCUCCAAAGGGGAGGCGCUCGGCGCGCCAUGCCGCACCAGAAGCGUCUCACAAGAGAGCGGCGGCCACGCCGGGCAAGUCUUCGAAGAGGAAGCCAAAUGACAACACGGCCGGGCCUUCAUCAAAGAGGUAUGGCUUUUUAAAUAUGCCCUCUGGCAGUCACAUCGAACUGUGACAUUGGCCGUUGUGUCUUAUUAGGAAGAGUAUCCGCCGGACUAUGUCCGGGGACCCUGCCGGCCGCGCCUCCACCAGUCAGGUUCCAGACCCUGUCUCUAGGGCAGGGGCUGACAAGGGAAUGACGCCGGAUUGUCCUCCUUUAGAGGACUCGGAUGAUGUAUCCGUCACAAACUCUGAAGUGGAGAGCGCCAUGAAUCAUCGGCGCCGGAGGGCCGCUCUUCGCGACCCGGGCUUUACAAAAGAGGCAUUCAAUGCCUUCAGCUCGGCCGUUGCAUACAUCCGAGCAGCUCGGGAUGGGCUUGCCAGAGCCACGGACCAGCAUUUGAAAGAUGUGCAGGUAAGUACGCAUUGUACAGAUCUGGUAAUCAUGUACCAGUAGCCCUCGAGACUUGGAAACAGUUGAAACAACUAAUUUAAGGAUCAUUGUAUAAUCAUGUACUCACAGAGAAGAACAACAUGUUGUCUCAGGAGCUGGAAAAGUGUCAGACUCAGCUAGCUGUAGUUACCGCCGAACUGGAGAAGUCCAAGGAGGCACCGCAUGGUGAUGUUCCCUUCCAUCCAGGAAAAGUAUAAUCAUGUACCAGUAAUGUUAAUACUAUUGCGUUUCUGAUGGCAGGAUCAGUAGAUCAACUGCAAGAGGAACUGAAAGUUGUGCAGGCAGGUAAACGAGAGGCCGAAAGGAACAGGCCGCAGGCGAACGUGUGCUGACACGAGUCAGGGAUGACAAUAACAAGCUGCAGGAUUCCAACACCAGGCUGGGCGAAGAGCUAAAAGAUGUACGAGCCUAGCUGGCUGAUGCCGUAAAGGAGAAUGGGAGGAUACAGGGCGGCAUAUCCAGUAUGCUUUCAAACUUGCCUUCGUGUGAUUCAGCAAAAAAAUGAACUAACAGAUUUAUGUCUGUAGGUAUGCUGACCGGCCGUCCCGAAGAGGAAAUGUCUGGAUCUCAAGGCGAUAUGCUGCAAGAGCUGUCCCAAAUGUACGAGCGAGCUUGGCAAUCAAUGCGGAGCAUUGCCAAGGCCUUGUGGCCAUCCGCCUCCCCUGCAGGGAGUAUGGAGGAGCUUGUGAAGUUAUUCCAAGGGGCUCGGCGGCGCUUUUGAUUAUGGAAGAUAUCAGCCUGCCGAGAAGGUGCGCGAGAAGCCUGGGCCAUGGUAAAAACACGGUACACCAAGCCUGAUCCGAAUCAUAUGGCCCGGGUCAGACCUCGAGGAUCAGAUGGACAAGAAAUUCCGGUGAGUUUGGUAUAUGACCAAGUAAAGAUAGGCGCCUAGUUUUCCCAACAAGAUUGUAAGCUAGACAGCCUAUUAGACGGCAUAGAGGAAGAAGUUUUUGAGUCCAAGUGACUAUGUACUUCAAUUGACAAAUUUGUCCCUAGCCAGAUUGUAAAACGAUUGUCAUGGCAGACCUUUUCGCUUCGACCUCUGGACCCGAAGGUGCGGAGUGUUUCCGAAUACCAAAGCGGCAAUGUAGACCGGGGUAUGCGUGGAAACCAGGCGUAGGGGUCAUGGUUGCUUGAACAGACAAGUUGUAUCCGACUAGCUAUGUUAUAUUACUUGUUGAUUGUAAGAAACAUCUUCCAGGGAUAAUAGUUUCGUUAGGGGUUCCUUUCCCUGGGUGAACAUGCGUUAGGAUGCAUGCCUGAACUGUGAUUGAAAAAUCGCAGUAUAUGUAACAUCUGGGGGUUCAUAAUGUAGUAAGAGUAAAACGUCUUUAGUUCACCAACCGAAUAUUCCCUUAAGAAUGCUAGCUUUCGGCUUCACCCAGUCUGAGGUACAAGUCCAGAUGACCCGGCUGUAACAAUCGCAGAGGUGCUCCCUUUAUGCCCUAGCCGAACAAACGGGAACGUAGGGCAUAAGCACAGGAGCCAGGCAACCCAGCUUGGCAACAUAACGGUGCAUAUAAUGGCGAAGAAAAGGUACAUAUGAGGAAAGGACACAUAUGUGAUGAGCUUGAUGCUCGGAAAAUAAUAAUAAGCUUCUGUAAAAGAAGCCCCCAGGUAUUAUUGGCGUAUACAUUUAAGGAUGUGUAUGUCAUAGGUGUGCGGGCUAGCCGCACAAGAGCUAUAGAGCUAAAAAAAUUAAAGAGAGAAAAAAUAGAAACAAAAAAGGGGGGGGGGAGACGAACAAAGAGUCCGACUCUAGGCGUAGAAUCUUCGGAGUCUGGCGGCAUUCCACGGGUUCGGCUCUAAGCGAUUGUCCGAUGCAUCACGCAAGCGGUAUGCUCCUCCAGUGAGAACUUCAUAUAUAAUGAAGGGACCCUCCCACUUGGGAUUGAGUUUGUCCUUUUUCUUUUCUGGCAAGCGUAGAACGAGUUCGCCAACAUUAUAGGUCUUGGCCCGCACUUCUCUGCUUUGGUAUUUGCGAGCCUGUUGUUGAUAGAAUGCAGAACGGGCUUUUGCAACAUCGCGCUCCUCCUUCAGGGCAUCUAGACUGUCCUGCCGAUCGAGCUCGGCCUCUCUCUCUUCAUACAUGCGCACUCAAGGUGAGUCAUGAAUAAUGUCGCAGGGCAAAACGGCCUCUGCGCCGUACACCAUGAAGAAUGGUGUGUAUCCGGUAGUGCGAUUGGGCAUGGUCCGCAGCCCCCAGAGUAUGGAGUCGAGCUCCUCUACCCAGUGCUUGUCUGAUUCUUUCAAAGACCACACUAGUCUAGGCUUAAUGCCGCUCAUGAUAAGACCAUUAGCUCGUUCGACUUGACCGUUUGUUCGUGGGUGGUAGACAGAGGCGUAAUCAAGCUUAAUGCCCAGGUUAGCGCACCAGGUUUUCACUUCAUCGGCUGUAAAAUUGGAGCCGUUAUCGGUGAUGAUGCUGUGUGGAACACCAUAACGGUGCACGACACCGGAUAUAAAGUCUAUCACUAGUCCGGCUUCGGUCGUUUUAACUGGUUUGGCCUCUAUCCACUUGGUGAAUUUAUCUACCAUGACCAACAAAUAUUUUUUCUUAUGGCUUCCUCCUUUAAGGGGACCGACCAUAUCAAGCCCCCAGACCGCAAAGGGCCAAGUAAUGGGGAUUGUCUGUAGAGCAGUAGGCGGCAUAUGGCUUUGAUUGGCGAAAAGCUGGCAUCCAACACAGCGUUGGACAAGGUCAUGUGCGUCUGUUCGGGCCGUCGGCCAAAAGAAACCUGUACGGAAGGCUUUACUUACAAGGGACCGAGCUGCGGCAUGGUGAUCGCCGAGACCAGGAUGGAUUUCAGCCAGAAGCUGCCGUCCCUCUUCUUCGGAGAUACAUCUUUGAAGGACUCCGGUAGCACUUUUCUUGUAGAGCUCUCCGUCAUGGACCUUGUAGGCUUUCGAACGCCAAACACUGCGGCAAGCCUCAUUCCGAUCCUCAGAGAGCUCUCGCCUAUUAAGGUAAGCCAAGAAGUGUUCGGUCCAUGGGGCAAUUACUGCCAUUAUUAGAUGGGCCGAUGGUGUUAUUUCGGUGGCUGAGCCCCCGAUGAUAUCGGUAUUGGAUGGCUUGAAGAGCCUUUCCAGAAAGAUGUUAGGUAGGACGGGGUCACGUUUGGCUCCCAUGCGAGCAAGGACAUCCGCCGCUUGAUUAAUUUCUCGAGCCACAUGAUGAAACUCGAGUCCCUCGAACCGAGCUGAUAUUUUGAGUAUGGCGUUACGAUAGGCCACCAUUUUUGGAUCUUUAGCGUCGAAGUCUCCAUUUAUUUGGGAUAUUGCAAGAAUUGAAUCCCCACGCACCUCCAGGCGUUGUAUGCCCAUGGAGGCAGCCAUCCGAAGACCAUGCAAUAAGGCCUCGUAUUCAUCUGCAUUGUUGGAGUCUGUGUAUAAUAUUUGGAGUACAUAUUGGAUUGUGUCUCCAGUGGGGGAUGUCGGUGUCAAAACCGGCGGAUCUCGGGUAGGGGGUCCUGAACUGUGCGUCUAAGGUCGAUGGUAAUAGGAGACGGGGGACACAAUGUUUACCCAGGUUCGGGCCCUCUCUAUGGAGGUAAUACCCUACUUCCUGCUUGAUUGAUCUUGAUGAAUAUGAGUAUUACAAGAGUUGAUCUACCACGAGAUCGUAAUGGCUAAACCCUAGAAGUCUAGCCUGUAUGACUAUGGUAACGAGUAUAUCUAUCCGGACUAAGCCCUCCAGUUUAUAUAGACACCGGAGGGGACUAGGGCUGUACAAAGUUGGUUACAGAGAAAGGAAUCUUCAUAUUUGGUCGCCAAGCUUGCCUUCCACGCCAAGGAGAGUCCUAUCCGGACACGGGAGAGAGUCUUCGGUCUUGUAUCUUCGCAGCCCAUUAGUCCGGCCCAUCUCCAACAGGCCGGACGCCCGAGGACCCCUUAGUCCAGGACUCCCUCAGUAGCCCCUGAACCAGGCUUCAAUGACGAGGUGUCCGGUGCGCAGAUUGUCUUCGACAUUGCAAGGCGGGUUCUCCUUUCCGAAUACUCCGAGAUAGUCUUCGGACGCAACGAACGUGUCCGGAUCUGCAACACAAGUACCACACACACAGCCGUAGAGAAUAUAAUAUUUCACGAGUCCCAUCCGCUGACAACUUUUCACAAGAUGACAUCACGCCUGCCCGAUCAUUAUUUCAAACCGUUUUCGUCUGCCGUUCCGCGUUUCGAGAUGCGGUUUCCAUUGGCACGUCUUGUCAAAGCAGAGAUCGUGUCCCCUUAUUGUGGGCUUCUCAUCAAUACGGGCGUGGGUAAUCCAACCGUGCCGUUUACAUAGCCCAUGGGAAUAGGCGAGUUUUGAGGCGAGUGGGGAGGCGUUCAAUAUUUACUGCCUUUAUAAGGGGAUAAGGAUUCCUCUUCUUCACCCAUGCCUUCUUUCUUCCUCUGCCCUUCCAUUCUCGAGCUCCAGCGCCCAAAUUCUCAUCUUUUCCACUCCGAGCAAACACCCAACAAUGUCCGAAUCCGGAGGUCAGGGCAAGUGGAUGGCCUCCUCCAUCAAGGAGAAGGACAUCGCCGAGCUUCGGGAGGCCGGGUAUCUGGCGAAAGAGAUCACCCACCGGCUCCCGGCCAAGGGACAAGUGAUGUCUACUACACAACCUUCUUCUUGUAGACGUUGUUGGGCCUCCAAGUGCAUAGGUUUGUAGGACAGUAGCAAAUUUCCCUCAAGUAGAUGACCUAAGGUUUAUCAAUCCGUGGGAGGCGUAGGAUGAAGAUGGUCUCUCUCAAGCAACCCUGCAACCAAAUAAAAAAGAGUCUCUUGUGUCCCCAACACACCCAAUACAAUGGUAAAUUGUAUAGGUGCACUAGUUCGGCGAAGAGAUGGUGAUACAAGUGCAAUAUGUAUGGUAGAUAUAGGUUUUUGUAAUCUGAAAAUAUAAAAACAGCAAGGUAACAAGUGGUAAAAGUGAGCGUAAACGGUAUUGCAAUGCUAGGAAACAAGGCCUAGGGUUCAUACUUUCACUAGUGCAAGUUCUCUCAACAAUAAUAACAUAAUUGGAUCAUAUAACUAUCCCUCAACAUGCAACAAAGAGUCACUCCAAAGUCACUAAUAGCGGAGAACAAACGAAGAGAUUAUGGUAGGGUACGAAACCACCUCAAAGUUAUCCUUUCUGAUCUAUCUAUUCAAGAGUCCGUAGUAAAAUAACACGAAGCUAUUCUUUCUGUUCGAUCUAUCAUAGAGUUCAUACUAGAAUAACACCUUAAGACACAAAUCAACCAAAACCCUAAUGUCACCUAGAUACUCCAUUGUCACCUCAAGUAUCCGUGGGUAUGAUUAUACGAUAUGCAUCACACAAUCUCAGAUUCAUCUAUUGAAACCAACACAAAGUACUUCAAAGAGUGCCCCAAAGUUUCUACCAGAGAGUCAAGACGAAAACGUGUGCCAACCCCUAUGCAUAGGUUCAUGGGCGGAACCCGCAAGUUGAUCACCAAAACAUACAUCAAGUGGAUCACGUGAUAUCCCAUUGUCACCACAGAUAAGCACGGCAAGACAUACAUCAAGUGUUCUCAAAUCCUUAAAGACUCAAUCCGAUAAGAUAACUUCAAAGGGAAAACUCAAUCCAUUACAAGAGAGUAGAGGGGGAGAAACAUCAUAAGAUCCAACUAUAAUAGCAAAGCUCGCGAUACAUCAAGAUCGUGCCAAAUCAAGAACACGAGAGAGAGAGAGAGAUCAAACACAUAGCUACUGGUACAUACCCUCAGCCCCGAGGGUGAGCUACUCCCUCCUCGUCAUGGAGAUCGCCGGGAUGAUGAAGAUGGCCACCGGUGAGGGAUUCCCCCUCCGGCAGGGUGCCGGAACAGGGUCCCGAUUGGUUUUUUGUGGCUACAGAGGCUUGCGGUGGCGGAAAUCCCGAUCUAUUCUGUUCCCCGUUGGUUUUAGGGUAUAUUGGUAUAUAUAGGAGGAAGAAAUACGUCAGGGGAGCCACGAGGGGCCCACGAGGGUGGAGGGCGCGCCCAGGGGGGUGGGUGCCCCCUGCCUCGUGCCUUCCUCGUUGCUUCCCUUACAUACACCCCAAGUCUUCUGGAUUGCUUCCGUUCCAAAAGUAACUCUCUCGAAGGUUUCAUUCCGUUUGGACUCCGUUUGAUAUUCCUUUUCUGCGAAACACGGAAACAAGGGAAAAACAUAAACUGGCACUGGGCUCUGGGUUAAUAGGUUAGUCCCAAAAAUAAUAUAAAAGUGUUUAAUAAAGCCCAUAAACAUCCAAAACAGAUAAUAUAAUAGCAUGGAACAAUCAAAAAUUAUAGAUACGUUGGAGACGUAUCAGCAUCCCCAAGCUUAAUUCCUGCUCGUCCUCGAGUAGGUAAAUGAUAAAAACAGAAUUUUUGAUGUGGAAUGCUACCUAACAUAUUUAUCUAUGUAAUCUUCUUUAUUGUAGCAAGAAUAUUUAGAUCCAUAAGAUUCAAAACAAAAGUUUAAUAUUGACAUGAGAACAAUAAUACUUCAAGCAUACUAACAAAGCAAUCAUGUCUUCUCAAAAUAACAUGGCCAAAGCAAGCUAUCCCUACAAAAUCAUAUAGUCUGGCUAUGCUCUAUCUUCACCACACAAAGUAUUUAAAUCAUGCACAACCCCGAAGACAAGCCAAGCAAUUGUUUCAUACUUUUGAUGUUCUCAAACUUUUUCAAUCUUCACGCAAUAUAUGAGCGUGAGACAUGUAUAUAGCACUAUAGGUGGAAUAGAAUGGUGGUUGUGGAGAAGACAAAAAGGAGAAGAUAGUCUCACAACAACUAGGCAUAUCAACGGGCUAUGGAGAUGCCCAUCAAUAGAUAUCAAUGUGAGUGAGUAGGGAUUGCCAUGCAACGGAUGCACUAGAGCUAUAAGUGUAUGAAAGCUCGAAAAGAAACUAAGUGGGUGUGCAUCCAACUCGCUUGCUCACGAAGACCUAGGGCAUUUUGAGGAAGCCCAUCAUUGGAAUAUACAAGCCAAGUUCUAUAAUGAAAGAUUCCCACUAGUAUAUGAAAGUGACAACAUAGGAGAUUCUCUAUCACUAAGAUCAUGGUGCUACUUUGAAGCACAAGUGUGGUAAAAGGAUAGUAGCAUUGCCCCUUCUCUCUUUUUCUCUCAUUUUUUUUAUUUUUUUGGGCCUUCUCUUUUUUUUGGCCUCUUUUUUAUUUUUUUAUUUAUUUUUCGUCCGGAGUCUCAUCCCGACUUGUGGGGGAAUCAUAUUCUCCAUCAUCCUUUCCUCACUGGGACAAUGCUCUAAUAAUGAUUAUCAUCACACUUUUAUUUACUUACAACUCAAGAAUUACAACUCGAUACUUAGAACAAAAUAUGACUCUAUAUGAAUGCCUCCGGCGGUGCACCGGGAUGUGCAAUGACUCAUGAGUGACAUGUAUGAAAUAAUUAUGAAAGGUGGCUUUGCCACAAAUACGAUGUCAACUACAUGAUCAUGCAAAGCAAUAUGACAAUGAUGAAGCGUGUCAUAAUAAACGGAACGGUGGUAAGUUGCAUGGCAAUAUAUCUCGGAAUGGCUAUGGAAAUGCCAUAAUAGGUAGGUAUGGUGGCUGUUUUGAGGAAGGUAUAUGGUGGGUGUAUGGUACCAGCGAAAGGUGCGCGGUAUUAGAGAGGCUAGCAAUGGUGGAAGGAUGAGAGUGCGUAUAAUCCAUGGACUCAACAUUAGUCAUAAAGAACUCACAUACUUAUUGCAAAAAUCUAUUAGUUAUCGAAACGAAGUACUACACGCAUGCUCCUAGGGGGAUAGAUUGGUAGGAAAAGACCAUCGCUCGUCCCCGACCGCCACUCAUAAGGAAGACAAUCAAUAAAUAAAUCAUGCUCCGACUUCAUCACAUAACGGUUCACCAUACGUGCAUGCUACGGGAAUCACAAACUUUGGAACAAGUAUUUCUCAAAUUCACAACUACUCAACUAGCAUGACUCUAAUAUCACCAUCUUCAUAUCUCAAAACAUUUAUCAAGUAUCAAACUUCUCUUAGUAUUCAAUGCACUUUAUAUGAAAGUUUUUAUUAUACCUAUCUUGGAUGCCCAUCACAUUAGGACUAAAUUCAUAACCAAAGAAAAUUACCAUGCUGUUUAGGACUCUCAAAAUAAUAUAAGUGAAGCACGAGAGUUCAUCUAUUUCUUCAAAAUAAAACCACCGCCAUGCUCUAAAAAGAUAUAAGUGAAGCACUAGAGCAAAUGACAAACUACUCCAAAAGAUAUAAGUGAAGAUCAAUGAGUAGCCGAAUAAUUAUGCAACUAAGUGAAGACUCUCUCUCAUUUAAGAAUUUCAGAUCUUGGUAUUUUAUUCAAACAGCAAGCAAGGCUAAAGAAAAUAAAAUGACGCUCCAAGCAAAACACAUAUCAUGUGGUGAAUAAAAAUAUAGCUCCAAGUAAAGUUACCGAUGAACGAAGACGAAAGAGGGGAUGCCAUCCGGGGCAUCCCCAAGCUUAGGCUCUUGGUUGUCUUUGAAUAUUACCUUGGGGUGCCUUGGGGAUCCCCAAUCUUAGGCUCUUGCCACUCCUUAUUCCAUAGUCCAUCGAAUCUUUACCCAAAACUUGAAAACUUCACAACACAAAACUUAACAGAAAACUCGUAAGCUCCGUUAGCGAAAGAAAACAAAACACCACUUCAAGGUACUGUAAUGAACUCAUUAUUUAUUUAUAUUGGUGUUAAACCUACUGUAUUCCAACUUCUCUAUGGUUUAUAAACUAUUUUACUAGCCAUAGAGUCAUCAAAAUAAGCAAACAACACACGAAAAACAGAAUCUGUCAAAAACAGAACAGUCUGUAGUAAUCUGUAACUAAAGCAAACUUAUGGAACUCAAAAAAAUCUAACAAAAUAGGAAGAACUAGAUAAUUUGUUUAUUGAUCUACUGCAAUUGGAAUCAGUAUUUUAUCACGUUCUGGUGAUUUUUAACAAUUGUUUUCGUGAACAGAAAGUUUCUGGAAUUUUCAGCAAGAUCAAAUAACUAUCAUCCAAGAAGAUCCUAUAGUUUUAACUUGGCACAAACACUAAUUAAAACAUAAAACCACAUCUAACCAGAGGCUAGAUAGAUUAUUUAUUCCUAAUAAUCACCAAAAAUCAAGAAACUAAAAUAAAAUUGGGUUGCCUCCCAACAAGCGCUAACGUUUAACGCCCCUAGCUAGGCAUGAUGAUUUCAAUGAUGCUCGCAUAAAAGAUAAGAAUUGAAACAUAAAGAGAGAAUCAUGAAGAAUAUGACUAGCACAUUUAAGUCUAACCCACUUCCUAUGCAUAGUGAUUUUUUAAGCAAACAACUUAUGGGAACAAGAAUCAACUUGCAUAGGAAGGUAAAACAAGCAUAACUUCAAGAUUUUAAGCACAUAGAGAGGAAACUUGAUAUUAUUGCAAUUCCUACAAGCAUACAUUCCUCCCUCAUAAUAAUUUUCAGUAGCAUCAUGAAUGAAUUCAACAAUAUAACCAUCACAUAAAGUAUUCUUUUCAUGAUCUACUUGCAUAGAAAUUUUACUACUCUCCACAUAAGCAAAUUUAUUCUCAUCAAUAGUAGUGGGAGCAAACUCAACAAAAUAACUAUCAUGUGAAGCAUAAUCCAAUUGAAAAUUAAAAUCAUGAUGACAAGUUUCAUGGUUAUCUUUAUUCUUUAUAGCAUACGUGUCAUCACAAUAAUCAUCAUAAAUAGGAGGCAUGCUUUCAUCAUAAUAAAUUUGCUCAUCAAAACUUGGGGGACUAAACAUAUCAUAUUCAUCAAACAUAGCAUCCCCAAGCUUGUGGCUUUGCAUAUAAUUAGCAUCAUGGGUAUUCAAAGAAUUCAUACUAACAACAUUGCAUACAUGCUCAUAAUUCACAUAUUUCAUUCCAAUCAUUCUAUGUAAUUCUUCUUCUAGUACUUGAGCACAAUUUUCCUUCCCAUCAUUUUUACGAAAGACAUUAAAAAGAUGAAGCAUAUGAGGCACCCUCAAUUCCUUUUUUUGUAGUUUUUCCUUUUAUAAACUAAACUAGUGAUAAAACAAGAAACUAAAAGAUUCAAUUGCAAGAUCUAAAGAUAUACCUUCAAGCACUCACCUCCCCGGCAACGACGCCAGAAAAGAGCUUAGUUGACGGGGUGUGAGUGCCGCUUACCUAGCCUCCCCGGCAACGGUGCCAGAAAAGAGCUUGAUGUCUACUACACAACCUUCUUCCUGUAGACGUUGUUGGGCCUCCAAGUGCAGAGGUUUGUAGGACAAUAGCAAAUUUCCCUCAAGUGGAUGACCUAAGGUUUAUCAAUCCGUGGGAGGUGUAGGAUGAAGAUGGUCUCUCUCAAGCAACCCUGCAACCAAAUAACAAAGAGUCUCUUGUGUCCCCAACACACCCAAUACAAUGGUAAAUUGUAUAGGUGCACUAGUUCGACGAAGAGAUGGUGAUACAAGUGCAAUAUGUAUGGUAGAUAUAGGUUUUUGUAAUCUGAAAAUAUAAAAACAGCAAGGUAACAAGUGGUAAAAGUGAGCGUAAACGGUAUUGCAAUGCUAGGAAACAAGGCCUAGGGUUCAUACUUUCACUAGUGCAAGUUCUCUCAACAAUAAUAACAUAAUUGGAUCAUAUAACUAUCCCUCAACAUGCAACAAAGAGUCACUCCAAAGUCACUAAUAGCGGAGAACAAACGAAGAGAUUAUGGUAGGGUACGAAACCACCUCAAAGUUAUCCUUUCUGAUCUAUCUAUUCAAGAGUCCGUAGUAAAAUAACACGAAGCUAUUCUUUCCGUUCGAUCUAUCAUAGAGUUCGUACUAGAAUAACACCUUAAGACACAAAUCAACCAAAACCCUAAUGUCACCUAGAUACUCCAUUGUCACCUCAAGUAUCCGUGGGUAUGAUUAUACGAUAUGCAUCACACAAUCUCAGAUUCAUCUAUUCAAACCAACACAAAGUACUUCAAAGAGUGCCCCAAAGUUUCUACCGGAGAGUCAAGACGAAAACGUGUGCCAACCCCUAUGCAUAGGUUCAUGGGUGGAACCCGCAAGUUGAUCACCAAAACAUACAUCAAGUAGAUCACAUGAUAUCCCAUUGUCACCACAGAUAAGCACGGCAAGACAUACAUCAAGUGUUCUCAAAUCCUUAAAGACUCAAUCCGAUAAGAUAACUUCAAUGGGAAAACUCAAUCCAUUACAAGAGAGUAGAGGGGGAGAAACAUCAUAAGAUCCAACUAUAAUAGCAAAGUUCGCGAUACAUCAAGAUCGUGCCAAAUCAAGAACACGAGAGAGAGAGAGAGACCAAACACAUAGCUACUGGUACAUACCCUCAGCCCCGAGGGUGAACUACUCCCUCCUCAUCAUGGAGAUCGCAGGGAUGAUGAAGAUGGCCACCGGUGAGGGAUCCCCCCUCCGGCAGGGUGCCGGAACAGGGUCCCGAUUGGUUUUUCGUGGCUACAGAGGCUUGCGGCGGCGGAACUCCCGAUCUAUUCUGUUCCCCGAUGGUUUUAGGGUAUAUUGGUAUAUAUACAGGAGGAAGAAAUACGUCAGGGGAGCCACGAGGGGCCCAUGAGGGUGGAGGGCGCGCCCAGGGGGGUGGGCGCGCCCCCCUGCCUCGUGGCUUCCUCGUUGCUUCCCUUACGUACAGCCCAAGUCUUCUGGAUUGCUUCCGUUCCAAAAAUAACUCUCCCGAAGGUUUAUACCGUUUGGACUCCGUUUGAUAUUCCUUUUCUGCGAAACACUGAAACAAGGGAAAAACAGAAAAUGGCACUGGGCUUUGGGUUAAUAGGUUAGUCCCAAAAAUAAUAUAAAAGUGUUUAAUAAAGCCCAUAAAUAUCCAAAAUAGAUAAUAUAAUAGCAUGGAACAAUAAAAAAUUAUAGAUACAUUGGAGACGUAUCAACAAGUCAUCCCCACACCAAAACCCAACGAGAGGGUGGUGUUCCUCCCUCAUUUCGUCAGCAGGCUAGGGUUUUCAGUCCACCCUUUCGUCCGCGGGCUGAUGUUCUAUUACGGGCGAGAUUUCCAGGAUCUAGCCCCUAACUCCUUCCUCAACAUCUCGGCAUUCAUUGUCGUGUGUGAGGCUUUCCUCUGCAUCCAGCCCCAUUUCGGACUGUGUCUCAAAAUCUUCAACGUGAAGCCGAAGGUUUUGAGCCAUAGUCCGAAAUGGGACUAUGGCCAACAAGCGGAGUGCGGGGGAGCCAUGGUGAGCAAGAUGCCCAACGUCACAUGGCCCCAAGGCACGUUCGUGGAUACUGCCAAGGAGUGGCAGAAGCUAUGGUUUUAUAUCACAGAGCCACGCGGUGCCACUUGGAACGCCGCCCACGAAUUUAAGUCCGGGGUUCCAAUGCGGCUGACCUCCUGGAUGGAGAAGGGCCCAAAUUGGUCUUCGUCGGAUGAGAUGAUGGCGCUGCAAACGCGCAUCCAAAGCAUGGUGAACAAGAACAUCAAGCUCGUUGACGUGAUCCAGGUUAUGCUAGUUCGCCAGAUCCUCGCCUGCCAAAGCCGAACUUCCCGUCUAUGGGAAUUCGAUCCGGAGAAGCACCAGACCUUGGUGAGGCUCUUCGGCACCACUCAUGAAGACGCCUGGAAGCUGCUCUUCAAAGGCGAUGAGAAGCCGCGAGCCAUAGACUCGGAUCGUGGGCACGAUCUUGCCCACCCCGAAAGCGCGGUAAGUCCUUCACAUCUCAAGGCGUGCCCUCUAUCUGUUUGUCCAAGGAGGGUAACUGUACUUUGCUAAUUUAUUGUUUCAGGAAUGGGCGGAGAAAGCAGAGCGAAUUCACAGUUCGGCUCCGCUGCCCAAAGAGCCAGUCAUCCCGCUCCUGGCGAAGAUGCUGGUCCCGGUGCCCUAUCAGCCGCCGGAGAAGAAGGCCAAGGGGGGCCGGGGUGGCCCCCGCUGCAAGGGCACUUUGGACGUGAUGUCCGAAGAUAAGACUCACUCCUCCGCCGCCAAAGACGACGAAGAGGAGGAGGAGGAAAGCAAUCCUCCCCCUGAUGGGGGGAGGAAGAAGAGGGCGGCCUCCACAAAUCUGGAGGCGGAGGCGCCCAAGAAGGGGAAAGGCUCCCACGCGGAUAAAACCGCGUGGGACAUAGACAAUAGUCCGGAGCGAGACCUGCGGAGCAAGCCCCUGGCCGCGUCGUAAGUACUGACAGACUCGUACUCGCCCGUGUAUCCGGCCUUUCCUCUUCAUUGUAUUAACAUGGUUAGUUAUGCUAUUGCAGUCCGGCCAACGACAACUCCCUACGAACCUCGUCGGGAGGUUCGCUGGAUUCAAAGGCGAUGGCCAGCGAGUCACCGUCGGCCGCUCACUCUCCCCCGGCCAAGGGCGAUGUCGAGGUGUCAUCCCGAAGGACCCUUCCUGGCCAGGGAGAGGUUCAGGAGGUAGCCAGGGCGGCGCCAGAGGGUGGAACCUCGGCCGCCAGACACAUAGGGGAACAGAUCCCCAUGGGGACUGAUGAUGGGGGCCAGGUUCAAUUCGGCCCCCAAUCUUAUAUGGCUCCGGAGGCCUACAAGGCUCCGGAAUCCGGCAAGCAGCCUCCCUCGAAAGAAGGAGGCGCGCCCAUCCCACCGGUGUCCUCUGUCCAACCAGAGGCACCGGACAAUCUACUGGAAGCGCUACGAGGCGCUUCCAUUGUGGAUGAACAUCGUAUCCUUAUGGGUACGGUGAUUGAGAAGGUCCAGUCUGUCAAAAGCGGACUGACCGAAGCCUGCAGCAGCCUGCUGACAGGUUUUGAGGUAAGCGACGCAAAAGAGAAAAGUCCCAAUAUAGGCAGUAGCCCCUGAGACACUGUCCUGUGUUCGAAAAGAAAAGCCGGACAGAGGAUCAAUUAACUUUCGCAGGGAACAAACUAAAUGUGUCUUUAUUCGAAUAAGCAGGCGUCGUUGUUGGCUGCGACCUCACACACUGCCGAAGUCUCCCGACUGAAGCAGAAGCUGGAGAGGGCCGAGGGAGAGCUCGGCCAAGUGAGGAAGCAGCUGGAAGAGCAGCAAGUUAUGCAAUGACUUGCUAUAUAUUCAGAAAUAAUAAAUGAUGUGUAUUGACUGUAAUGUCAUGAUUUGUGUAGGAGCGACGAUCGAGGUCGAGGCCCUGAAAAAGGUGUUGGAAAUAUGCCCUAGAGGCAAUAAUAAAAUGGUUAUUAUUGUAUUUCCUUGUUCAUGAUAAUUGUCUGUUGUUCAUGCUAUAAUUGUAUUAACUGGAAACCGUAAUACAUGUGUGAAUACAUAGACCACAACAUGUCCCUAGUGAGCCUCUAGUUGACUAGCUCAUUGAUCAACAGAUAGUCAUGGUUUCCUGACUAUGGACAUUGGAUGUCAUUGAUAACGGGAUCACAUCAUUAGGAGAAUGAUGUGAUGGACAAGACCCAAUCCUAAGCAUAGCACAAGAUCGUGUAGUUCGUUUGCUAAGAGCUUUUCUAAUGUCAAGUAUCAUUUCCUUAGACCAUGAGAUUGUGCAACUUCCAGAUACCGUAGGAAUGCUUUGGGUGUACCAAACGUCACAACGUAACUGGGUGGAUAUAAAGGUGCACUACAGGUAUCUCCGAAAGUGUCUGUUGGGUUGGCAUGAAUCGAGAUUGGGAUUUGUCACUCCGUAUGACGGAGAGGUAUCUCUGGGCCCACUCGGUAAUGCAUCAUCAUAAUGAGCUCAAUGUGACCAAGUGGUUGGUCAUGGGAUCAUGCAUUACGGUACGAGUAAAGUGACUUGCCGGUAACGAGAUUGAACAAGGCAUUGGGAUACCAACGAUCGAAUCUCGGGCAAGUAACGUACCGAUUGACAAAGGGAAUUGUAUACGGGAUUGAUUGAAUCCUCGACAUCAUGGUUCAUCCGAUGAGAUCAUCGUGGAACAUGUGGGAGCCAACAUGGGUAUCCAGAUCCCGCUGUUGGUUAUUGACCGGAGAGUCGUCUCGGUCAUGUCUGCAUGUCUCCCGAACCCGUAGGGUCUACACACUUAAGGUUCGGUGACGCUAGGGUUGUAGAGAUAUUAGUAUGCGGAAAUCUGAAAGUCGUUCGGAGUCCCGGAUGAGAUCCCGGACGUCACGAGGAGUUCCGGAAUGGUCCGGAGGUAAAGAUUUAUAUAUGGGAACUCCUAUUUUGGCCACCGGAAAAUGUUCGGGUUUUUCGGUAUUGUACCGGGAAGGUUCUAGAAGGUUCCGAAGUGGGGCCCACCUGCAUGGGGGGACCCACAUGAACGUGGGUAGUGGGGGCAAGGCCCCACACCCCUGGUCAAGGCGCACCAAGAUCCCACCUUAGAAGGAAUAAGAUCAUAUCCCGAAGGGAUAAGAUCAAGAUCCUAAAAAAGGGGGAUAACAAUCGGUGGGGAAGGGAAAUGAUGGGAUUUCUUUCCCCCACCUUUGCCAACGCCCCAAUGGACUUGGAGGGCAAGAAACCAGCCCCCUCCACCCCUAUAUAUAGUGGGUAGGCGCAUGGGAGCAGCACCCCAAGCCCCUGGCGCCUCCCUCUCCCUCCCGUGACACCUCUCCCUCUCGCUGAGCUUGGCGAAGCCCUGCCGAGAUCCCCGCUGCUUCCACCACCACGCCGUCGUGCUGCUGGAUCUCCAUCAACCUCUCCCUCCCCUUGCUGGAUCAAGUAGGAGGAGACGUCUUCCCAACCGUACGUGUGUUGAACGCGGAGGUGCCAUCCGUUCGGCGCUCGGUCAUCGGUGAUUUGGAUCACGACGAGUACGACUCCGUCAACCCCAUUCACUUGAAUGCUUCCGCUCGCGAUCUACAAGGGUAUGUAGAUGCACUCCUCCCCUCUCGUUGCUAGCAUCUCCUAGAUUGAUAUUGGUGACACGUAGGAAAAUUUUGAAUUUCUGCUACGUUCCCCAACAGUGGCAUCAUGAGCCAGGUCUAUGCGUAGAUUCCAUGCACGAGUAGAACACAAAUUAGUUGUGGGCGAUGAUUUGUUCAAUUUGCUUACCGUUACUAGUCUUAUCUUGAUUCGGCGACAUUGUGGGAUGAAGCGGCCCGGACCGACCUUACACGUACUCUUACGUGAGACAGGUUCCACCGAUUGACAUGCACUUGAUGCAUAAGGUGGCUAGCGGGUGUCUGUCUCUCCCACUUUAGUCGGAUCGGAUUCGAUGAAGAGGGUCCUUAUGAAGGGUAAAUAACAAUUGUCAUAUCACCGUUGUGGCUUUUGCGUAGGUAAGAAACGUUCUUGCUAGAAACCCAUAGCAGCCACGUAAAACAUGCAACAACAAUUAGAGGAUGUCUAACUUGUUUUUCCAGGGUAUGCUAUGUGAUGUGAUAUGGUCAAAAGGAUGUGAUGAAUUAUAUAUGUGAUGUAUGAGAUUGAUCAUGUUCUUGUAAUAGGAAUCACGACUUGCAUGUCGAUGAGUAUGACAACCAGCAGGAGCCAUAGGAGUUGUCUUAAUUUAUUGUAUGACCUGCGUGUCAAUGAAAACGCCAUGUAAUUACUUUACUUUAUUGCUAACCGUUAGCCAUAGUAGUAGAAGUAAUAGUUGGCGAGACAACUUCAUGAAGACACGAUGAUGGAGAUCAUGGUGUCAUGCCGGUGACGAAGGUGAUCAUGCCGCGCCUCGAAGAUGGAGAUCAAAGGCGCAAGAUGAUAUUGGCCAUAUCAUGUCACUUUAUGAUUUGCAUGUGAUGUUUGUCAUGUUUACAUCUUAUUUGCUUAGAACGAUGGUAGCAUAAAUAAGAUGAUCCCUCACUAAAAUUUCAAGAGACGUGUUCCCCCUAACUGUGCACCGUUGCGAAGGUUCGUUGUUUCGAAGCACCACGUGAUGAUCGGGUGUGAUAGAUUCUAACGUUCGCAUACAACGGGUGUAAGCCAGAUUUACACAUGCGAAACACUUUGGUUGACUUGACGAGCCUAGCAUGUACAGACAUGGCCUCGGAACACAAGAGACCGAAAGGUCGAACAUGAGUCGUAUAGUAGAUACGAUCAACAUGGAGAUGUUCACCGAUGAUGACUAGUCCGUCUCACGUGAUGAUUGGACACGGCCUAGUUGACUCGGAUCAUGUAUCACUUAGAUGACUAGAGGGAUGUCUAUCUGAGUGGGAGUUCAUUAAAUAAUUAGAUGAACUUAAUUAUCAUGAACAUAGUCAAAAGGUCUUUGCAAUUUAUGUCGUAGCUUAUGCUUUAGUUCUACUGUUUAAGAUAUGUUCCUAGAGAAAAUUUAGUUGAAAGUUGAUAGUAGAAAUUAUGCGGACUGGGUCCGUAAACUGAGGAUUAUCCUCAUUGCUGCGCAGAAGGCUUAUGUCCUUAAUGCACCGCUCGGUGUGCUGAACCUCGAGCGUCGUCUGUGGAUGUUGCGAACAUCUGACAUACACGUUUUGAUGACUACGUGAUAGUUCAGUGCGUAAUGCUAACGGUUUAGAAUUGAGGCGCCAAAGACGUUUUUGAAACGUCGCAGAACAUAUGAGAUGUUCCAAAGACUGAAAUUGGGAUUUCAGACUAGUGCCCACGUCAAGAGGUAUGAGACCUCUGACAAGUUUCUUAAGCCUGCAAACUAAGGGAGAAAAGCUCAAUCGUUGAGCAUGUGCUCAGAUUGUCUGAGUACUAUAAUCGCUUGAAUCGAGUGGGGGUUAAUCUUCCAGAUGAGAUAGUGAUGGUUCUCCAUAGUCACUGACAUCAAGCUAUUAGAGCUUCGUGAUGAACUAUAACAUAUCAGGGAUAGACAUGAUGAUCCUUGAGCAACUCGCGAUGUUUGACACCGCGAAAGUAGAAAUCAAGUAGGAGCAUCAAUUGUUGAUGGUUAGUAAAACCACUAGUUUCAAGAAGGGCAAGGAAAAGAAGGGAUACUUCAUGAAACGGCAAAUCAGUUGCUGCUCUAGUGAAGAAACCCAAGGUUGAACCCAAACCUGAAACUAAGUGCUUCUGUAAUGAGGGGAACGGUCACUGAAGCAGAACUACCCUAGAUACUUGGUAGAUGAGAAGGUAGGCAAGGUCGACAGAAGUAUAUUGGAUAUACAUUAUAUUAAUGUGUACUUUACUAGUACUCCUAGUAGCACCAGGGUAUUAGAUACCGGUUCGGUUGCUAAGUGUUGGUAACUCGAAAUAAAAGGCUACGGAAUAAACGGAGACUAGCUAAAGGUGAGAUGACGAUAUGUGCUGGAAGUGUUUCCAAGGUUGAUGUGAUCAAGCAUCGCUUGCUCCCUGUACCAUCGAGAUUGGUGUUAAACCUAAAUAAUUGUUAUUUGGUGUUUGCGCUAAGCAUAGACAUGAUUGGAUUAUGUUUAUCGCAAUACGGUUAUUCAUUUAAGGAGAAUAAUGGUUACUCUCUCUAUUUGAAUAAUACCUUCAAUGGUCUUGCACCUAAAAUGAAUGGUUUAUUGAAUCUCGAUCGUAGUGAUACACAUGUUCAUGCCAAAAGAUAUAAGAUAAUAAUGAUAGUACCACAUACUUGUGGCACUGCCACUUGAGUCAUAUUGGUAUAAAACGCAUGAAGAAGCUCCAUGUUGAUGGAUCUUUGGACUCACUCGUUUUUGAAAAGAUUGAGACAUGCGAACCAUGUCUAUUAGUAUAUAUGCAUGAAGAAAGUCCAUACAGAUGGAUCGUUUGGACUCACUUGAUUUUGAAUCACUUGAGACAUGCAAAUCAUACCACAUGGGCAAGAUGACUGAAAUGCCUCGUUUUCAGUAAGAUGGAACAAGAAAGCAACUUGUUGGAAGUAAUACAUUUUGAUGUGUGCAGUCCAAUGAGUGCUGAGGCAUGCAGUGGAUAUCGUUAUGUUCUUGCUUCACAGAUGAUUUGAGUAGAUGCUAAGAAUAUUUACUUGAUGAAACACAAGUCUGAAUUAUUGAAAGGUUCAAGUAAUUUCAGAGUGAAGUUGAAGAUCGUCGUGACAAGAGGAUAAAAUGUCUAUGAUAUGAUCAUAGAGAUGAAUAUCUGAGUUAUGAGUUUGGCACACAUUUAAGACAUUGUGGAAAUUGUUUUACAACUAAUACCGCCUGGAACACCAUAGUGUGAUGGUGUGUCCGCACAUCAUAACUGCACCCUAUUGGAUAUGGUGCAUACCAUGAUGUCUCUUAUCUAAUUACACUAUCGUUUAUGGGUUAGGCAUUAGAGACAACCGCAUUCACUUUAAAUAGGGCACCACGCAAUUCCGUUGAGACGACACCAUAUGAACUAUGGUUUAGAGAAACCUAAGCUGUCGUUUCUUAAAAGUUUGGGGCUGCGACGCUUAUGUGAAAAAGUUUCAGGCUGAUAAGCUCGAACCCAAAGCGGAUAAAUGCAUCUUCAUAGAAUACCCAAAACAGUUGGGUAUACCUCCUAUUUCAGAUCUGGAAGCAAAAGUGAUUGUUUCUAGAAACGGGUCCUUUCUCGAGGAAAAGUUUCUCUCGAAAGAAUUGAGUGGGAGGAUGGUGGAGACUUGAACCGUCACUUCAACUAAUGUGUAGCAGGGCACAGGAAGUUGUUCCUGUGGCACCUACACCAAUUGAAGUGGAAGCUUAUGAUAGUGAUCAUGAAACUUUAGAUCAAGUCACUACCAAACCUCACAGGACGACAAGGAUGCGUACUACUUCAGAGUGGUACGUAAUCCUGUCUUGGAAGUCAUGUUGUUGGACAACGAUGAACCUAUGAGCUAUGGAGAAGCGAUGGUGGGCCCAGAUUCUGAUGAAUGGCUCGAGGCCAUAAAAUCCGAGAGAGGAUCCAUGUAUAAAAACAAAGUGUAGACUUUGAAGAACUACUUGAUGGUCGUAAGGCUGUUGGGUGCAGAUGGAUUUUAAAAGGAAGACGGACAAUGAUGGUAAAUGUCACCAUUAAGAAAGCUCGACUUGUCGUUAAGAUGUUUUCCGACAAGUUCAAGGAGUUGACUACGACGAGGCUUUCUCACUCGUAGCGAUGCUAAGAGUCUGUUGGAAUUAUAUUAGCAUUUACUGCAUUAUUUAUGAAAUCUUGCAGAUAGGAUGUCAAAACAUUGUUUCCUCGACGAUUUUCUUGAGGAAAGGUUGUAUGUGAUACAACCAGAAGGUUUUGUCAAUCCUGAAAUAUGCUAACAAGUAUGCAAAGCUCCAGCAAUCCUUCUAAGGACUGGAGUAAGCACCUCGGAGUUGGAAUGUACGCUUUGAUGAGAUGAUCAAAGAUUUUGGGUUUAUACAAAGUUUAAGAGAAACUUGUAUUUCCAAAGAAGUGAGUGGGAACACUAUAAAAUUUUUGAUGAGUAUAUGUUGUUAACAUAUUGUUUAUCAGAAAUGAUGUAGAAUUUCUGGAAAGCAUCCAGGGUUAUUUGAAAGGUGUUUUUCAAUGGAAAACCUGGAUUAAGCUACUUGAACAUUGAGCAUCAAGAUCUAUAAGGAUAGAUCAAAAAUGCUUAAUAGUACUUUCAAAUGAAUACAUACCGUGACAGGAUUUUGAAGGAGUUCAAAAUAGAUCAGCAAAGAAGGAGUUCUUGGCUGUGUUACAAGGUGUGAGUAUUGAGUAAGACUCAAGACCUGACCACGGCAGAAGAGAGAGGAAGGACGAAGGUCGUCCCCUAUGCUUUAGACGUAGGCUCUACAGUAUGCUAUGCAGUGUACCGCACCUGAAGUGUACCUUGCCAUGAGUCAGUCAAGGGGUACAAGAGUGAUCCAGGAAUGGAUCACAUGACAGCGGUCGAACUUAUCCUUAGUAUCUAGUGGACUAAGGAAUUUUCUCGAUUAUGGAGGUGGUAAAAGAGUUCGUCGUAAGGGGUUACGUCGAUGCAAACUUCGACACUAAUCCGGAUGACUCUGAGUAGUAAACCGGAUUCGUAUAGUAGAGCAGUUAUUUGGAAUAGUUCCAAGUGGCACGUGGUAGCUACAUCUACAAGAUGACAUAGAGAUUUGUAAAGCACACACGGAUCUGAAUGUUGCAGACCCGUUGACUAAAACCUCUCUCGUAAGCAUAACAUGAUCAAACCCUAGAACUCAUUGAGUGUUAAUCACAUGGUGAUGUGGACUAGAUUAUUGACUCUAGUAAACUCUUGGGUAUUAGUCACAUGGCGAUGUGAACUUUGAGUGUUAAUCACAUGGCGAUGUGAACUAGAUUAUUGACUCUAGUGCAAGUGGGAGACUGUUGGAAAUAUGCCCUAGAGGCAAUAAUAAAAUGGUUAUUAUUGUAUUUCCUUGUUCAUGAUAAUUGUCUGUUGUUCAUGCUAUAAUUGUAUUAACUGGAAACCGUAAUACAUGUGUGAAUACAUAGACCACAACAUGUCCCUAGUGAGCCUCUAGUUGACUAGCUCGUUGAUCAACAGAUAGUCAUGGUUUCCUGACUAUGGACAUUGGAUGUCAUUGAUAACGGGAUCACAUCAUUAGGAGAAUGAUGUGAUGGACAAGACCCAAUCCUAAGCAUAGCACAAGAUCGUGUAGUUCGUUUGCUAAGAGCUUUUCUAAUGUCAAGUAUCGUUUCCUUAGACCAUGAGAUUGUGCAACUCUCGGAUACCGUAGGAAUGCUUUGGGUGUACCAAACGUCACAACGUAACUGGGUGGCUAUAAAGGUGCACUACAGGUAUCUCCGAAAGUGUCUGUUGGGUUGGCAUGAAUCGAGAUUGGGAUUUGUCACUCCGUAUGAUGGAGAGGUAUCUCUGGGCCCACUUGGUAAUGCAUCAUCAUAAUGAGCUCAAUGUGACCAAGUGGUUGGUCACGGGAUCAUGCAUUACGGUAUGAGUAAAGUGACUUGCCGGUAACGAGAUUGAACAAGGCAUUGGGAUACCGACGAUCGAAUCUCGGGCAAGUAACGUACCGAUUGACAAAGGGAAUUGUAUACGGGAUUGAUUGAAUCCUCGACAUCGUGGUUCAUCCGAUGUGAUCAUCAUGGAAUAUGUGGGAGCCAACAUGGGUAUCCAGAUCCCGCUGUUGGUUAUUGACCGGAGAGUCGUCUUGGUCAUGUCUGCAUGUCUCCCGAACCCGUAGGGUCUACACACUUAAGGUUCGGUGACGCUAGGGUUGUAGAGAUAUUAGUCUGCGGAAAUCCGAAAGUCGUUCAGAGUCCCGGAUGAGAUCCCGGACGUCACGAGGAGUUCCGGAAUGGUCCGGAGGUAAAGAUUUAUAUAUGGGAACUCCUAUUUUGGCCACCGGAAAAUGUUCGGGAUUUUUCGGUAUUGUACCGGGAAGGUUCUAGAAGGUUCCGAAGUGGGGCCCACCUGCAUGGGGGGACCCACAUGAACGUGGGUAGUGGGGGCAAGGCCCCACAUCCCUGGUCAAGGCGCACCAAGAUCCCACCUUAGAAGUAAUAAGAUCAUAUCCCGAAGAGAUAAGAUCAAGAUCCCUAAAAAAGGGGGAUAACAAUCGGUGGGGAAGGGAAAUGAUGGGAUUUCUUUCCCCCACCUUUGCCAACGCCCCAAUGGACUUGGAGGGCAAGAAACCAGCCCCCUCCACCCCUAUAUAUAGUGUGGAGGCGCAUGGGAGCAACACCCCAAGCCCCUGGCGCCUCCCUCUCCCUCCGGUGACACCUCUCCCUCUCGCUGAGCUUGGCGAAGCCCUGUCGAGAUCCCCGCUGCUUCCACCACCACGCCGUCGUGCUGCUGGAUCUCCAUCAACCUCUCCCUCCCCUUGCUGGAUCAAGAAGGAGGAGACGUCUUCCCAACGGUGCGUGUGUUGAACGCGGAGGUGCCGUCCGUUCGGCGCUCGGUCAUCGGUGAUUUGGAUCACGAUGAGUACGACUCCAUCAACCCCGUUCACUUGAACGCUUCCGCUCGCGAUCUACAAGGGUAUGUAGAUGCACUCCUCCCCUCUCGUUGCUAGCAUCUCCUAGAUUGAUCUUGGUGACACGUAGGAAAAUUUUGAAUUUCUGCUACGUUCCCCAACAAAAGGCCCUGGCCGAAGCCGAGGAGAAGGCUACCAAGGAGCAAGCCGCUCGUAAAAAGCUCAAGGCCCGGCUCAACGAGGUCCAGCAAGAGCUCCAGGAUGCGGUGAAAAAGUGCGAUGCCUUGGAGGGCGAUGUUUCGGCUCGAGAGACUGAACUCGCCAAGGCUCGCCAAAGUGCGGUGGAGGCCCGAGUUGAAGCCCAGGGUGCCCUCCAGGAGAUCCAGGAGGCCAAGAAGAUCGCGGCGGGUAAGGCGUUUAGUAUGCAAAGCAAGUACGUGAAGAAGAAGUAUUUCUUACUAACCCGAAUUCGGAGUUCCCCAGGGGCAUUUGCGGACCUGCCGCUGUCACGACCGGUUUUUCAAUAAAAUAAUUAUUGAGAGACCAAUCCCUUUUACGGACCAGCGAGGAAGAAUUCCUUCUCACUGAUAGACAAUAUCUUGGUCACAGAAGAAAAAUACCAGGAGUACUAAAUAUAAUACAAGGUUGAGCAGAGACUGCCCAACAAUUUAUUACAUGCACGCCGCUAAAACAAAACGGCGGAUAGGGUGGCAACUACUAACUCACGAUAAUGAUGGUGGUGGAAAUAUCAUCGCGAAGCGAGUGAUAUGAUUCCAGAAGACUACAACUCAUCGAGCGUCGGAGUGAGGCUCGAGAAGAUUUAUUGCGGGUGGCGGAAGCGUAUACAAUACAAGUGACCAAUAUCCGGGAUCGCGCAGGACUGACUGGGACUCCUCUAGGCGUCGGACGUGCUAUCAAACUCUUCAUCCAAGAGAUCGCCUUCGUCAACAUCUGGCCAAAUCAACAAGCCAGGUGAGUACUAUGAAAGUACUCGCAAGACAGUUCGAACAUAAGGUAUAACAAAUGUAAACAUGAAGCAUAUGAACAAGUUAACCAGUGCGAUCAGACAUAGAGAUAAUAAAUACUGGGUGCCAAGCGAGGGUCUGAAUGACGCCUCGAGCGGAAACUGCAGAAUAGUAAUACAGGUGCCAAACGAGUGUCUGAAGGACUCCUCGAGCGGAAAAUGCGGAAUAAUAAUACAGGUGCCAAACGAGUGUCUGAAGGACUCCUCGAGCGGAAAAUGCGGAAUAAUAAUACAGGUGCCAAACGAGUGUCUGAAAGACUCCUCGAGCGGAAAAUGCGGGAUGAUAAUGCCACAGUCGGGCGUCGGGGCGACACCACAUAAAGGGCUUGUAACAGAAAAUAAAGGCAGUGCAUGCCACAGUCGGACGUCUGAGCGACAUUACAUAAAGGGCUUAUAUUUAAAGUGAGAAACGAGUACACGCCACAGUCGGACGUCUGCGCGACCUCUCAUAAAGGGCUUAUAUUGUAGCUCAAUAAUACAAUAGUCGGGAAUAUAAUUUAUCACGAGCAUGAGAUAAAUAUAAAGUUAGUCCAUCCACAGGAAUAACAAUAAAACUGACACUUGAGCUUGUUCACCGGGGACAAGAUUUUCACACGGAUAGAUAUGGAUAUAAUGUUUACACUACUGAUCAUGGAUACGAUGAUUUGGAAAGAAUUGACUCUGCAGAGUUUGUACUUAACCACAGCCAACGGAUUUCAGUAGUCACGGGGACUAGUUCCGUCUACGGUGUUUUGGAAGAAACACGUCUAACCAGUACACACCCAAUUCAACCAUCCGAAGCCAGGGAUCACCCUCGGCAACGUCCAAGAAAAACCUUGAGACGGGGAGGCUACAACCUCGCGUAGCAUGGGAUCAAAUUUCUAUACGCGCGCUCUAAGGGGGUGCCCCCCUCUCGGUCCCAACCGGAAACACCCAUGCCCCCUGACCGGAUGACUGGCUUUAAUCCUGGGCCAAGGUAUCAUCCCGGCCUCUCUGUUUGGUGUGUACACGGAAAGAGGCUACCAACUUACUAAACCGCAUCCUGGCAAUGAGACAUGUGGUAGCACGGAAGGGGAAAGAACGGUAACGUGGCUCCAACCACGUUAACGUCGGAGGAAGUCGGAUGACGCAAGGCUGGUAUGCUACAACAGUACCACCUUACUGCCCUUCAUGUCACCACAUGAUUAGGCCACCUCUCAUCAGAGGUCAUCGCAACUUUGGAACAUGCGGGGAAAAGAACGAUAACGUAGCUCCAACCACGUUAACGUCGAAAAAAAGUCGGAUGAAGCAAGGCUGGUAUGCUACAACAGUACCACCUUACUGCCCUUCAUGUCACCACAUGAUUAGGCCACCUCUCAUCAGAGGUCAUCGCAACUUUGGAACAACCGGGUCGUUGCCUUACAAGCAACGAGGUUUUUACCGACACUCAUAUGCCACGCACAAACUCUCACGUGAACAUGCAAAACAUCUGCCAUAUCAAAUGUUCAAAACAUGCUUGCCUGGUUCGGAGAAGUCGGAGUCUAGCUCGGCGAAGUUCGCGGCCCCUUCACCUCUCCCGGAACCUACGGCAAUCACGAAACGGGUACUAACGUGAAAACCAACACAUACACAGAAACUUUUCCAAAUAUUUUUCAAAUAAAUACCAUAAAAAAAC